UUUUACACAACAAGAUAUAAAAGGGGGCCCCCCACUAAGAGAAAGGAAAUAUUCCUUUUGGCUAUUUAUAUAUAUACACAGAACACGGUAAGGGGGGGCAUACACCAUUCUUUUCUUCUUAUUCUUCUGGGUUCACAAACACACGACACCAAAAGGACACACAAGUACAGAGGCUAUUUUUCUUCUUUUCCUUUUUCUGCUAUUUGGCGCACACACACACAUGGAUGGGGUGGACAGACCUUAAAUCAAGAGAGUAGGAGAGAUAGAUAGAGGGUAAAGCAGUGGAGAGAGGGAGAGAGGAAGAGAGAGAGUGAAGCAACGGGUGAGGGAUAGAGACCGCCAAACUCGUGUGGGAAACCAGAUCUCGCCGGUGAUUCGGCACCGACCAAGUCCACUCCUAAAAAAUAGCUUCGUUAUUCACUGAAAAACACUCAAAAACCCAACCAAAGUUGACCCGUCUUUAUCCUUCCCAUCGCAUAUCAUCGAAAAAUUUCAUCAGUGAUGCAAAUGGGUGCGCAAUUUCACAAGUGACUCAAAUCUUGGUCAAAUUUAGUUGUCAUUAUUUGGGUUUUCCUUUCGAGUCAUUGCGGAGCUCUUUUCGAAUUGGAUUUCGAGGAAUUUUGUGUUAGAAUUAGUUUAAAGUUGAGAUCUCGGUGUUCGUUGAGGUUCCAAUGAGGCCGAAUUCAUGAGCUCCGGUUAGCUGCACAAUUUGAAAUCAAAAGUGCAAUCAAAUAAUAAUCGUAGUUCGAAACACUCAAUUUAAGGUCCAUCUCUCAAGUCUUAUUCUCAGUUAAUUCUUAGUUUUUAUGUGAUUUAUUGAUAUCGUCUCAAUUUUUCUCUUAUUUUGUGCAUGAUGUGAAUGAUGGAUGUUAUAUUGUAUUGACAAUGGAUGGUUAAAAUUAUUAAUUGUGAAUUGUGGAAAUUUGGUGUUAAAAGGGAAUUCGGGGUGCGAAUUAAAAAUUGUUAAAGUGAAUUAUGAUUAAUUUUGAUUUGUUGUUGUUUUGAUUCAUCGUUAUUGUUAGUUUCAUGUCUAAUUGACAAUUUCGCAAUAGAAUCAUGAUAGGUCAAAUGAGAUAGGCAAUAGUAGGCUCGGGUAGGCAAAUUAAGAACUUGUGGAUGAUGGAAUGUUCGAAAUGUAUGUUGAAUGGCUUUGUUUUAUCGCAUUUGAAUCAAUUGUACUCAUUUGGCCGGGGAAUGCCCCGAGGUAUCUGUAUUGCUUUAUCUGAGGAAUGCCCCAAGAAAGUUGUACUGGAAGAUGGCGCAUGGUCAAGGCCCAGAACGUCGGGUGGAGUUUAGCUUAGAAUAGAAUAGGAUUUACAUUUCUACAUUUUUAUUUCAGAACUGUAUAAUUCGGACUCGACAUUAUUUUGGUUUUGAAUUUUUUUGUUUGUUUGUUUGAUUGGUUUGUGUGUUUUUUUGUGUGGUUUAUACAUUCUAUAGUGUCAAAUUAGCCGAUAUUAUAGACACCUAAUUUCGUCCCUCCCCGAUGACGUUUUUACCCAUUCUUAUUUUAUCCUACCGUGUACCCUCACCCAUGUUAUUAUACCCUCACAAAAUACAAAAAAAAAAACAAAAAAUAAAUAAAAUAACAAAAUCCCUAACAAAACCUAUCCUAACUAAUUCUAUCUUAUCCUAACAACCUACCCAAUCAAAAUAAACCACACCAUCCCAUACCCUACCCCACCUACCCUACCCCAAUACCUACCUCACAAUAUAUACACACAUACUCAGAGAAGAACAGCAUACAGAUCACAGCUCCCAUCCAUUUUUCUUCUUCUUAUAUUCAACACAAACAGUAACAAGAAAAGGGAGAGCACGGACGAUCUUUCUUUUUCUUUCAUUUUUUUUCAUAAUCCACAAUUUUUCAUCUUCUUCACUCGCAUCUCACUGGAAACACACUCACGGACACACAAAUACACAUAUAAUUCACACCCCACUCUCUAUUGACAGUACAUACGCACACACUCGCGGGUGACGGGAAAUAUACACGCACCAUCGCCAGAGACCACACAGCUGACUGGAAUCCACACAUACGCCUACACACAGAGAGAGAAUUAAGGUUGAAAGAUUGAGAGAGGAAGAGAGAUCGAGAGAAAAUAGAAAAAUGGAGAGGAAUAGAAAUAGAGAAAAGGAGGAGGAGAAUGAGUUGAUCGGAAUAGAGGGAUUUUAGAGUUUUUCGGUGAGAUCUCACCGGAGAACUGCCGGGAAAACUCAUCGGAGAGCCGAAAAUACAGCAGCAACAAUAACCAGCUCCAAAGCCCUCCUAAAAUCUGAUUAAACUAGUGUCCAAUUACUCUGUUGCCAUCACUGUCACUGUCCAACAGUGGGUAUCUACCGAAAAAGCAUUUGAGUCGACGUCUUUGUCCUGUUUCAGCAAAAUAUAUCAUUAAAUGGGCGAAAAUCCUAGAAAUUGGCCUCAUUCAUUUUAACAGGUCAUAUCAGUGUUUUCUCCGUCUUUUAUUUUGGCUAGAUUCGGGCUUUGCUUUGCGAUGCCGAGUGGUAUAAGGCUGUUUGGGGUCGAGUUUGGUCAUUGUGGAGGUUCGGCUCGGGGUUUCGAAACGACUUUAUUUUUCUUAAUCAAGCCAGAAUAUUCUGAAGGUCCAUUUCUUAACCCGCUCUCUUUUAUUUAUCUUGGUGUAUCAAAUUGGUUGUGAUUAUGUUUGGUGUUAUUAUGUUUGUUGGUUUUAUUGUUGAUAUUGAUCAUUGCGUUUGUUGAUUCGGCUAUGGUGGGUUGAGGAAAGAAUUUGACCAUGUGUUGAUUGUUGAUUGAUAAAAAUGAAGCUACUGCGGGUCGAAUUGAGAACUUGAUAAAAAGGGAUGUAAUAGAUUGACGUGGGUUUAUUAUUAUUUAUGUUCAAUCCAAAAUAUGUAAACAUUGAGUGAAUGUGAUUGAUUUAUGACAUGUUGAAAUGGACAGGCAAUAUAGGUUUGGGUAGGCAAAUUUUAGAAUUAAGUGCUUUGUUGGAUGUGACCGUGGAGUAAGUGUUGAAUGUUUUCUACUUUAUCACAUUCGAUUCAAAGUGUAUUUAUUUAACCAGGGAAUACCCCGAAGUUGCCCCAAAAUAUUUUGUACGCAAAGGAUGCUCGUGAUCAAGGCCCGAGGCAUCGGGUAAAGCAUAGUUUAGGACUAGUGUAGGUUAUUUUAGUAUUUUUAUUUCAGGUUGUAAUAAUUGGACUGGACUUUACAUUUUGUUUUGUUUUGUUUACUGUUUGAUUAUUUUGCGUGCUUUUGUGUGGUUUCUACAUUUUGUAAUGCCAAAAUAGUUGAUACACUCCACCCAAGCGAUCGUGGCUGAACCACGGGAUCGAGGGGUGCCUAACACCUUCCCCUCGGUCAAUAGAAUUCCUUAGCCGGAAUCUCUAUUUGCAAAACCAGUUUAAGAGUCAAAUGGUUUCGAAAAGGAUUUUCCAAAGUGACUUGGCACACCGGAUUAUGCCAAGUGGCGACUCUGCAUAAAAAAUGUAAAUAAUCCUUUUCCAAAAUAAAUUUUCAGUUCUUGUCACUUAAAUAAUAAAAUCCUUUCGGACUUAAAAUAUACAUUUUUUGAGUACGUAAAAAAAGGGGGUGCGACAGCUUCUGGCGACUCUGCUGGGGAACAACAACAAGUUUUCAGAAUUCGAGCUAUUUUUGGAGUCGUAUCGGCUUUGUUUGGCAUUACAAGUGUAUAAGCUUGUUUGUGAUUUUGUUUGCAUUAUUGUUUUCACUUUUGUGCGUUUUUUUGUGCUCUGUGUUUAUAGUAUUUAUCCUAUGUGUUACCGCUUUAUAUCUGUCAUCAUGAGUCCACCCCCCGGCCUUCUUUCUGCAACAAGUCCGUAGUACACAUGUUGUACACAACCUCUAGUUGAGUCACCCUUGUUCUAAAGGGGGAGCCGUCCAUGUUAUGGAUUAGGUGGAAAGCAAAGCAGCCACUAUCGACCAUACGCUCCCCCGAACAGCCUUGUUAGUGAACCACAAUGUAGGUCAGCCUUUAGGUCAUGCUUAUGUGCAUCAUAUUGAGACCUAAUGGGGCCCACUUGAUCCUUUGUAGGAGACUCACCUCUAAAGCAUCCCUACGUGCUAAAUGUUGCAUCUUUUAGGAUAACGUGGUCAUUUGAUAGAUUGAUUUUUGAAAAAACAAAUUGUUAGGAAUAAGGUGCGUAGGAAAAAACGAAAAAGAAAAAAAAUAGAAAAGUGAGUCGAAAAGAAUGAAAAAAAAGGGAAUGUCGUAGUUUAUUUUAGAAUUCUUUAUGGCUUUGGUUCUUCACAAUCCAAAAACUCAAAAAGAUUUUUUUUUUCCGUUUUGCAUUUGUCUUCUCAAAGUACCGUAAAUUCAAAAAAAAAAUAAAAAAAAUAAUCAAAAUGAAAAAAAAAAUGUGUUCGCCUUUUCUACUUAUUUUUCAAAAACAAAAAUACCAAAAAGUUUUUUUUUUCUUCAUAAUUGGUGGUGUCAAUCUUAGUUAAAGUGUCUAGCUGAAAAUUCAAAAGUUUUUUUCGUUUGUUUUUGGUAGUGUCUCUUAAGUUAGGGUCAAUUUAUUAGUUAAUCCUUAAUUGUCCAAUCUGAAUGAAUUACGCAUACUUGAUUCCCUUCCCUCGGGUUGAGAUACGUAGGCAACCCUCGGUGGGUCCGAUAAAUCUUUGUGUUGGGCUUUGUCUUCUUAUUAGCCUAGGUCUCUCGCCCCAUAAUCUAGAGUUGUUUGCCAAGUAGACUGAUUUCGCUCAGUACUUCUGUUCGGCAAAUUGGAGUCAUGAAUGUGCUCUGUCCCAUCGACAUAUGUUUGCGUCAAAAAUCCCAAGGGUUUGGAAUCGUCUACUCCUGUCGAAUUUUUUUUGAGAUAAUGUCUUGUGUGUUAUUAUAGGAUGGAUUUGUCCACCAAGUUUAGAGUUCUGAUGGUUGUCAAGGUGCCCAAAAAGUUAAUCAAAUGGUGGGAAAUGUUUAACUAUGUUGAUCAGCAGAAACUGGUUAAAAUAUUAGGUGAUCUUACGGAACUUCUGCACGUUACCCCUCGUCUAGAUCUAAUAGAGGCUUUGUUGACCUUUUGGGAUCCGAGUGGUUUGGUAUUCAAGUUUGGGGAAUGUGAAAUGACUCCUACUUUGGCAGAAAUAUCUGGUUUGUUGCAUUUGCCCUAUAUCGACAAGGAUAUGAUACGAGCACGAAAUCAUACUGGCGUGAGAUUUUUGCAGUCAUGUGGUUUAAAAAGUAAGGGUAUCCAUUUGGGUUGUUUAAGUGAUUCGUGGGUUUCCCUAGAUUUUUUGUUCGCUAGAUUCGGGCCCUCGGAAGGUUUUGAUUGCUUUUGGGAUGAAUUUCAUGUGACUAAGGAGAAGUGGGACAGAAAGCGUCUUAAAGUCUUCACCCUCGCUUUGUUAGGUACUUUAGUGUUUCCACUAGAAGAAAGGCAUAUUAAUACCUAUUUGCAAUCUGUGGUGAUGACCCUAUUUCAUAGGGAUCAAAACGACGAGGGCAUUAAUCAAAAGGGUAGGUUCACUUUCAUACCCAUGAUCUUAACAGAAAUAUAUAAGGCUUUAAUUGAAGUGAAGGGGGGAAGGAGAUUUUUUAAGGGCAGUAACCUGAUAUUGCAGUUAUGGAUGAUGGAGCAUUUGCAUGCGCCUUCUUUAGUUAGACCAGACGUUGUAGAUCGUUGUAUUCCCAAUCGAGUGAAAGCCAUGGAACCCAGGUUGCGUUUGGAUAAAUUCUCGUUACCCGCGGGAGUCGAGGCUUGGAUUGAAUUUCUUGAAUCAAGAACCGGGGAUAACAUUCUGUGUACUUAUCUGUGGCUUCGCCCAAAGAUAGUAUUGUUGGGUUGUCAGACGCAGCUCCCUUUAGUUAUGUUAGGGCUCAAUUGCACUAGACCAUACAGUCCUUCUAGGGUAAUGCGCCAGCUGGGUAGGCUGCAGGACGUGCCACCAGCAGUAGAUCUUCUAAAGGAUGUUGAGUACUUCAAGGACCAAGCCUUAGGUGAGAGCAAGUAUGAACAGUUUUGGAAACAGGCAACAAAGCUAAGUGUGGACAUGCUCAAAGACAGUUUGGAUAAUCUGGGGUACACUCAGGGAUAUGAGUUCUGUCUUCAAUCUAUCCCUCGGGGUAUCAGUCAACCCUUACCAGCGCAACUUAGAGGAAGAAUAUAGGAAGAAUGCAUAGUAGACGACCAUCAGGAUAAAAGGGUAGGGUCCAAAGUGGAAACACUAAGAGUUCAGUUAGCAGAUUUGUUCAAGACGGUAGAAAGGUGUUAGAAUAAUCUUUCCAAGUGCACUCCUCAUGAAGCAGGAAUACGGGCCCGAAGCUUCCUCCCCGNNNNNNNNNNNNNNNNNNNNNNNNNNNNNNNNNNNNNNNNNNNNNNNNNNNNNNNNNNNNNNNNNNNNNNNNNNUCCAGGGUCAUCACGCAGAGCACCAGUCUAAAAGAGCACUUCUUAUCUUUAUUCAGUUUGAGUCUUUUAUGUAUCUGUCAUUGUAGGGUGGUGUCUGCUUUAAGUCGAAGUCAAUUUGUUUUUGGUAUUAGAGUCUUAAUUAGUAAUUUCACCUACGUCGUCUUAGGGGUCUAUAAUUUGGUUUCGUAUUUGUUGUUUAGUUUUAAAGUGGUCCCAAACUUUUGUACGUUUUUGUUGUGUUUUGAUGUUACGUCUUUCCUUGUUUUGUUUAUUCUCGUUUACGAAAAAAAAAAUAUGCAAAAAGAUUUUCGUCAAUUCUUUUGACACUUUGUUUCGAGAAAGAAAAAAAAGAGUUUAAUUGGCGUGCCGAACUACGCAAGAGCUGAUUCAUGUACAACAUGAUACGUAGGUAACCUACUUUUGGGUUCGAUCUAAUCAUUUUGUUUCAUUGUUUUUCAUUAUUUUUCCNNNNNNNNNNNNNNNNNNNNNNNNNNNNNNNNNNNNNNNNNNNNNNNNNNNNNNNNNNNNNNNNNNNNNNNNNNNNNNNNNNNNNNNNNNNNNNNNNNNNNNNNNNNNNNNNNNNNNNNNNNNNNNNNNNNNNNNNNNNNNNNNNNNNNNNNNNNNNNNNNNNNNNNNNNNNNNNNNNNNNNNNNNNNNNNNNNNNNNNNNNNNNNNNNNNNNNNNNNNNNNNNNNNNNNNNNNNNNNNNNNNNNNNNNNNNNNNNNNNNNNNNNNNNNNNNNNNNNNNNNNNNNNNNNNNNNNNNNNNNNNNNNNNNNNNNNNNNNNNNNNNNNNNNNNNNNNNNNNNNNNNNNNNNNNNNNNNNNNNNNNNNNNNNNNNNNNNNNNNNNNNNNNNNNNNNNNNNNNNNNNNNNNNNNNNNNNNNNNNNNNNNNNNNNNNNNNNNNNNNNNNNNNNNNNNNNNNNNNNNNNNNNNNNNNNNNNNNNNNNNNNNNNNNNNNNNNNNNNNNNNNNNNNNNNNNNNNNNNNNNNNNNNNNNNNNNNNNNNNNNNNNNNNNNNNNNNNNNNNNNNNNNNNNNNNNNNNNNNNNNNNNNNNNNNNNNNNNNNNNNNNNNNNNNNNNNNNNNNNNNNNNNNNNNNNNNNNNNNNNNNNNNNNNNNNNNNNNNNNNNNNNNNNNNNNNNNNNNNNNNNNNNNNNNNNNNNNNNNNNNNNNNNNNNNNNNNNNNNNNNNNNNNNNNNNNNNNNNNNNNNNNNNNNNNNNNNNNNNNNNNNNNNNNNNNNNNNNNNNNNNNNNNNNNNNNNNNNNNNNNNNNNNNNNNNNNNNNNNNNNNNNNNNNNNNNNNNNNNNNNNNNNNNNNNNNNNNNNNNNNNNNNNNNNNNNNNNNNNNNNNNNNNNNNNNNNNNNNNNNNNNNNNNNNNNNNNNNNNNNNNNNNNNNNNNNNNNNNNNNNNNNNNNNNNNNNNNNNNNNNNNNNNNNNNNNNNNNNNNNNNNNNNNNNNNNNNNNNNNNNNNNNNNNNNNNNNNNNNNNNNNNNNNNNNNNNNNNNNNNNNNNNNNNNNNNNNNNNNNNNNNNNNNNNNNNNNNNNNNNNNNNNNNNNNNNNNNNNNNNNNNNNNNNNNNNNNNNNNNNNNNNNNNNNNNNNNNNNNNNNNNNNNNNNNNNNNNNNNNNNNNNNNNNNNNNNNNNNNNNNNNNNNNNNNNNNNNNNNNNNNNNNNNNNNNNNNNNNNNNNNNNNNNNNNNNNNNNNNNNNNNNNNNNNNNNNNNNNNNNNNNNNNNNNNNNNNNNNNNNNNNNNNNNNNNNNNNNNNNNNNNNNNNNNNNNNNNNNNNNNNNNNNNNNNNNNNNNNNNNNNNNNNNNNNNNNNNNNNNNNNNNNNNNNNNNNNNNNNNNNNNNNNNNUAAGUUCGAGAAGUAUGCAGGACACGGUGAUCCCGUGGCACACUUAAGACGUUAUUGCAACCAGUUGAGGGCUGCAGGAGGAAAGGAAGAACUGCUCGUGGCCUUCUUUGGCGAGAGUCUUUCAAAUCUGGCCUCAGAAUAGUUUAUCGAUCGAGAUAUCGAUAAAUGGAACAGCUGGGAUGAUUUGGCUUCUGAAUUAGUUCAACAUUUUUAGUACAACAUCGACCUAAUUCCGAAUAAAAAAUCCUUUUUCAAUAUGAAGAAGAAGACCACCGAAGGUUUUAGGGAAUACGCGAUAAGGUGGCGUGAACAGGCAGCCAGGGUAAAGCCUCCAAUGAAAGAAAGUAAGUUGGUAGAAGUUUUCAUUCAGGCGCAGGAUGAGACCUAUUUUCAACAUUUACUUCUGGCAAUGGGGAAGUCUUUUAUGGAAGUCCUCAAAAUGGGGGAGAUGAUAAAGGACGAAAUUAAGAUCGACCGAAUAGUGAGUUUUGCCAUAUUAAAAGCCACCAUACAAGCGAUUCAAGGUGGAUCUGGUGUAUUUGGAGGUAAAAAGAAGAAAGAGGAUGUAGCGACUGUCGUAGCUGGAACCCAUUCCUAUCCCAAAAGACCACCUCGCCCCUAUCCCCAAUCCCAAGCCCAAAUCUACGCCCAAGCUCCAUAUAUUCCUCCCCACCAUUACUAUCCUCCAUAACACCCUUUAUAUUUUAUUCCACCACCACCGUACCCAGUAUAUAGCGCGCAACCAUAUGCCCAAACCUCUUCUUACCCGCAAUGGCACGCGCAAGCUCCACAAAAUCGCCCAUUCGCUCUACCAAAUUACCAAAACCCCUCCAGACCCAGUUUUCAGCCUAGGCUCGAGUAUAAGAAGAAGAAGGUGGUCAAAAAUCAAUUCACUCCUCUUGGGGAGUCAUGUGCUAGCUUGUUUAAUAGGUUUAGAAAGUUGAAGGUUUUAAUCCCAAUUCAAGGAAGGCUUUCAAAUCCACCGCCGAGGAAUCUCAACUAUUCUUUAAGGUAUGCGUACUGUUCUGAUAUGCCAAGCCAUGAUAUCGAGAAAUGCUGGCAUUUAAAGAGAGUUGUCCAAGAUUUAAUUGACAUGAAUCAGACGCUGGUCCAGGCCCCGGAGGGUCCAAACAUUAACCAGAAUCCACUGCCAACCCAUGCUGAAGCCAAUAUGUUAGAAUUGAUAUAUGACGGGAAAGUGAUAUAUGACAGUAAAGAGUCUUCGAGGGGUUAUAAGUCUAUUGUCAAGAUACAGACCAUUGAGGAGAAAUCGGUGAAUGUAGCUGAGUCUUUGAAAGCAAUGUCAUUGAACUGGGAAGGAAUCAGAGAAGAUAAAGCCCAAGAAAGCCCAAAGAAACCCUUGAUCACAGUACAAGGCACCAGAAGGUAUGUUGAUUUAAGUCAGGAUAAACCUAAGUUGACGGUGGUGGGAGCUCUGAGUCAGCCCAUCUUGAUGGUGAAAGGAGCACUGGCAGCGCCUAUUGUCCUCAAAUNNNNNNNNNNNNNNNNNNNNNNNNNNNNNNNNNNNNNNNNNNNNNNNNNAUUAUGUGCGUACUAUGAUGACCUAUCACAGGAAAGAAGUUAUGGAAGAUGUAGAUGAGGUAGGGGGUUUGACUAGGUCAGGAAGAUGCUUUGUGCCUGAAAGCUUAAGAAAGUCCAAGCUAAUGGCGAGUAGACCGUCAUCUAUCAAAAAGCCUAUCACCAAAGAAGAAGUCGAAGAAUUUUUGAAAAAGAUGAAAUUGCCAGAGUAUUCAAUAUUGGACUAAUUGAAGAAAACCCCUGCUCAAAUUUCCCUUUUAUCUUCGCUGUUGCAUUCGAAGUAGCAUCGUGAUAUUUUACUGAAGGUAUUAAAUGAAGCAUAUGUUCCAAGGGAUAUUACAAUCAACCAACUUGAGAAAAUGGUCGGAAAAAUCUUUGAAGUCAAUCGAAUCAGCUUUUCUGAUGAGGAAUUGCCUGUUGAAGGUACAGGGCAUAACCGGGGCCUUUACAUUACAGUGAAAUGUGAAGAUUUCUACAUCACUCAUGUUAUGAUUGAUGGAGGUUCAAGUGCAAAUAUUUGCCCUAUUUAUACUUUGCAAAAGUUAAAUAUUGGUGCUGACAGGAUCAGACCCAACAAUGUAUGUGUUAGGGCUUUUGAUGGUGCAAAAUCAAAUUCCAUUGGCGAAAUAGAACUAAUGUUGACCAUAGGGCCUGUUGAGUUCAUCAUAGUGUUUCAAGUAUUGAAUGUAGACUCCUCUUACAAUCUGUUGUUGGGAAGGCCGUGGAUUCACAAGGCCAAGGCGGUUGCAUCUACACUGCACCAAAUGAUUAAGUUUGAGCAUGACAGGCAAGAAGUACUUAUUCAUGGUGAGGGAGAUUUGUCAGCCUAUGAAGAUUCUCCCUUGUCUCUUAUUGAAGCAAAUAACAUAGAGGAGACAUUUUUUUAUCAAAUUUUUGAUACAGUGCCAGUGAAUCGUAUCUUUGAAUGGCAAGCUAUACCGGGACCACAAUUAUCUUUUGCUUCUAUCAUGAUGGUGAGUGAACUUUGGAAAUAUGUAUUUGAGCCAGGAAAGGGUUUGGGAGCAUCUCUGCACGAUAUAGUUCAUCCCAUAUGUCCAAGUGUGAACGUGGGCACAUUUGGUCUGGGAUUUGAGCCUACAGCUGAAGAUCUGAAGAAAGCCAAGGGAAGGAAAAAGGAAAUAUGGUCACUCCCUCGCCCAAUGCCACUACUUAGUGAAUCAUUGUUAAGAGCGGUGUCACGAAGCAUGUGGAAUUUGAGGAUGAAUUAGUUGAUGACUUCUAGAACCUUUGUAUUGAAGUUUAUAUGGUCGAAGCAGGAGAAGGUACCAGUAUGGCAGGCAUGAAAUUCAUUGGUCCAGCUGUCCAACUCAAUAAUUGGGAAGUCACUCCUCUCCCCGUUAGGAGGGAGUUUUGGUAGUUUAUUUUGUUUUUCUUUCUGUUUAUCCGAGUUAUUUCAGGGUUGUAAUUUGGAUUUUAGUUUGCUUAUGUUAUGUUGGUAUUUGUUUUUUAAGCCCUUCUAUCUUUUAUUUAAUGAAAUACAAUGUCCCUUUUGUUUCGUGUCUAAUAUAUUUUGUUUUCUUUUUUACACAGUUCUCUUUAUGCUGAUUCUAAUGACAUGACAUGCGUGCGGAAUUUUUAGCCUAAUCUUAAAAUACAAACUAAUCAAGAUCUAAUGAAGCAGGAUGGGGAAUAUGAUAAAGAAAAAGCACUAGAAGAAAUAAGCAAAGAGUUGGAACAAUUUGAAGACAAACCGAAUCCUAAUUUGAAUGAGACUGAGCCAAUAAAUCUAGGGGAUCAAGAAGAUGUUAGGGAUAAAAUCAGUGUACAUGCUUUGCCACAUCUAAAAGAUGGAAUGAUUCAAGCAUUAAUUGAUUACAAGGAUGUUUUUGCAUGGUCUUAUGAUGAUAUGCAUGGUUUAAGCACUGAAUUAGUGGCUCACAAAUUGCCAUAUGAUCCCGCAUUUCCUCCUGUCAAACAGUCUUGGUGGUGAAAACCCCCGUGGGCAUAAUAAGGCGAUGGUGAGUCGAGAGAAAUAAAAAUGAGAGAGUCUUAUUGGUGAAAACCUUUACAGGUACCAUAAGGCGAUGGUGAGUGGAGAGAAAUAAAAAUGAGAGAGUCUUAUUGGUGAAAACCCUCACGGGCACCGUAAGGCGAUAGAGAGUUCAAGAGAAAAGUGAAAAAGUGAGAAGAAAGAAAUUUGUUGGCAAAAGUCUUUUAAGAUGUCGUCAAUCGAAUGUGAUGUAUGAGUCUAAUGGAUUUGAAGAAGCGGCUCAGCGGCAAAAGGUACAAACUCAACAACAAAUGGGGAGUCUAGAUAGGAAGAUCAGGCAGCUUAAUCCAAAAUGCAUGUCAUACUCAUUGGAGUUGGUUGUCGUAUUCAGAUAAGUUUUCUUUUUGAAUAUGGAACAUUGCCCUUUUCUUUCAUUUACAUAUUCAUGCUUUUUGUCUUUUUAUGUCAUUUAUCAAAAUAAAAGUCACCAUAAUUUCUUUAUAUUUUAAGUCAAGUCUGUGUCAAAACAAGUGAGAAAGGAUUUCAAAAUUUACUACCAGUCUUUCCAAUUAUAUGAGAAAAAGCCAAGGAACAGCACAGGAAGAAAUAUAAUCGUAAUUCAACAUGAAGCAAAGGAAGGCUAUCAACCGAUAGGCUUUUGGAUCCAUAGAAACAUUCAAAUUUAGGAAAAAGUGCACCUCAGGGGCAUGGUAAAAUGGAAACUCGUUGUUUGAGUCAAACUCAUUUCCCUCAAUCUGGGUCCGGGUCGAUGAUGCGGCAAGACGGGGCAGGAGUUAGCAAUCUGGAACAAAGUUGAAAGGAACGAGUGCUAGGGCAGAUACCUGAGAAGCCAAGAGCUGCAAGCCACCACUAAGUUUUUAACUGACAAAUUUUCUUAGUUGAUAAAGGGGCAAAUUCGCUUCACUUAAUUCAGCUAUCAUUGGAAAUGCACAUCUAAGGGAUUUUACUUUCUGUUCAGGACCCUCCUUAAAAAUGGGAUUUUACUUUCUGUUCAGGACCCUCCUGAAAAAUGACAAUUUACUUUCUAUUCAGGACCCUCCUGAAGAAUGGGAUUUUACUUUCUGUUCAGGACCCUCCUGAAAAAUGGGAUUUUACUUUCUGUUCAGGAGGUUCUGUUUAGGACCCUCCUGAAAAAUGGGAUUUUGCUUUCUGCUCAGGACCCUCCUGAAAAAAUGGGAUUUUGCUUUAUGUUUAGGACCCUCCUGAAAAAUGAGAUUUUACUUUCUAUUCAGGACCUUCCUGAAAAAUGGGAUUUUACUUUCUGUUUAGGACCCUCCUGAAAAAUGGGAUUUUACUUUCUGUUCAGGACCCUCCUGAAAAAAUGGGAUUUUGCUUUCUGUUCAGGACCCUCUUGAAAAAUGGGAUUUUACUUUAUGUUCAGGACCCUCCUGAAAAAAAUGAGAUUUUUACUUUCUGUUCAGGACCCUCCUAAAAAAUGGGAUUUUACUUUAUGUUGAGGACCCUCCUGGAAAAUGGGACAACACUUUCAAAAAUGAAAUACAACUUUACUAUAAUGUUUUGUUUGGGAUAAGUUUUGUUCUAGUUUUAAUUUUGGGUUUCAGGAGCCCGCCUGAAGAACAGGGUGAUGAAAUAGCAAGUCAGGAGCCCGCCUGAAGAACAGGGUGAUGAAGUAACAAGUCAGGAUCCCGCCUGGAGAAUAGCGUGAAGAAACGAAAAGUCAAGCAACAAAGUGAAGCAAUUGAAAGCCAAGCAACAAGUUGAAAGAAAUUGCAAGUCAGGAGCCCGCCUGAAGAAUAGGGCGAUAAAAGUCGAGUCAUGAACCAACAAAAGUUGUAUAGAUAGGAUUUUUGUAAUUUCAUUUAUACUUUAACUUGUAAUUUUAAUUUUGGAUGUAAUAACAGAGCUGCGGACCGGAACCUCGAUGGAACCUUACUCGACUCUCCAACUCGGUAUAGUCCACUUCUCUUCCAAUCCUUUGAAAUACCCGUGACUUGAUUCUCUCAUGACUUGGGUAGAUAGGGUGUCCGACAGGAGUCGAUUGUCCUUCCUUCUUUUACUCCUCUCUUUGAAUAAUGAUCGGGACAAAAUUCGGUCUCGUUGUCUACUUCUUUGUCUGAAAACACUUCAUGUUUACAUUCAAAGGGGGCAUGAUGUAGACACCUAAUUUCGUCCCUCCCCGAUGUCGUUUUUACCCAUUCUUAUUUUAUCCUACCGUGUACCCUCACCCAUGUUAUUAUACCCUCACAAAAUACAAACAAAAAAUAAAUAAAUAAAUAAAUAAAAUAACAAAAUCCCUAACAAAACCUAUCCUAACUAAUUCUAUCUUAUCCUAACAACCUACCCAAUUAAAAUAAACCACACCACCCUAUACCCUACCCCACCUACCCUACCCCAAUACCCACCUCAGAAUAUAUACACACAUACUCAGAGGAGAACAGCAUACAGAUCACAACUCCCAUCCAUUUUUCUUCUUCUUAUUUUCAACACAAACAGUAAUAAAAAAAGGGAGAGCACGGACGAUCUUCCUUUUUCUUUCAUUUUUGUUUUCAUAAUCCAUAAUUUUUCAUCUUCUUUACUCGUAUCUCACCAGAAACACACUCACGGACACACAAAUACACAUAUAAUUCACACCCCACUUUCCAUUGAUAGUACAUACGCACACACUCGUGGGUGACGGGAAAUAUACACGCACCAUCGCCAGAGACCACACAGCUAACCAGAAUCCACACAUAUGCCUACACACGGAGAGAAAAUUAAGGUUGAAGAUUGAGAGAGGAAGAGAGAUCGAGAGAGAAUAAAAAAAUGGAGAGGAAUAGAAAUGGAGAAAAGGAGGAGAAGAACGAGUUGAUCGGAAUAGAGGGAUUUUAGAGUUUUUCGGUGAGAUCUCGCCGGAGAACUGCCGGGAAAACUCACCGGAGAGCCAGAAAUACAGCAGCAACAAUAACCAGCUCCAAAGCCCUCCUAAAAUCCGAUUAAACUAGUGUCCAAUUACUCCGUUUCCAUCACUAUCACUGUCCAGCACCGGGUAUCUACCGAAAAAGCAUUUGAGUCGACAUCUCUGUCCGAUUUCAGCAAAAUAUAUCAUUAAAUGGGCGAAAAUCCUAGAAAUUGGUCUCAUUCAUUUUAACGCGUCGUAUCAGUGCUAUCUCCGUCUUUUAUUUUGGCUAGAUUCGGGCUUUGCUUUGCGAUGCCGAGUGGUAUGAGACUGUUUGGGGUCGAGUUUGGUCGUUGUUGAGGUUCGGCUCAGGGUUUCGAAACGGCUUUAUUUUUCUUAAUCAAGCCAGAAUAUUCAGAAGGUCCAUUUCUUAACCAGCUCUCUUUUAUUUAUCUUGGUGUGUCAAAUUGGUUGUGAUUAUGUGUGGUGUUAUUAUGUUUGUUGGGUUUAUUAUUGAUAUUGAUCAUGACGUUGAGGAAAGAAUUUGACCAUGUGUUGAUUGUUGAUUGAUAAAAACGAAGCUAGGGGAGGUGGAAUUGAGAACUUGAUAAAAAGGGAUGAAAUAGAUUAACGUGGGUUUAUUAUUAUUUUUGUUCAAUCCAAAAUAAGUAAACAUUGAGUGAAUGUGAUAGAUUUAUGCCAUGUUGAAAUGGAUAGGCAAUAUAGGUUCGGGUAGGCAAAUUUUAGAAUUAAGUGCUUUGUUGGAUGUGAACUUGGAGUAAGUGUUGCAUGUUUUCUACUUUAUCGCAUUCGAUUCAAAGUUUAUUUAUUUAACUGGGGAAUGCCUCGAAUUAAUUUGUAUUUAUUCAUCGGGGAAUGCCCCAAAGAAUUUUGUACACAAAGGAUGGUCGUGAUCAAGGCCCGAGGCAUCGGGUAAAGCAUAGUUUAGGACUAGUGUAGGUUAUUUUAGUAUUUUUAUUUCGGGUUGUAAUAAUUGGACUGGACUUUACAUUUUGUUUUGUUUUGUUUACUGUUUGAUUAUUUUGCAUGCUUUUGUGUGGUUUCUACAUUUCGUAAUGCCAAAAUAGUUGAUACACUCUAUCCAAGCGACCGUGGCUGAACCACGGGAUCGAGGGGUGCCUAACACCUUCCCCUCGGUCAACAGAAUUCCUUAGCCAGAAUCUCUGUUUGCAAAACCAGUUUAAGAGUCAAAUGGUUUCGAAAAGGAUUUUCCAAAGGUGACUUGGCACACCGGAUUAUGCCAAGUGGUGACUCUGAAUAAAAAAUGUAAAUAAUCCUUUUUCGAAACAAAUUUUCAUUUCUUGUCACUUUAAUAAUAAAACCCUUUCGGACUUAAAAUAUACAUUUUUUGAGUACGUAAAAAAAAGGGGGUGUGACAGAUAUGCUCCACCGAGAGACCAUGGUUGAACCACGGGAUCAAUAAGUACCUAACACCUUCCCCUCGGUCAACAGAAUUCCUUUGCCGGAAUCUCUAUUCACAAACCAGUCUGAAAGAGUUAAAUUAUUUUGAGAGAGAUUUUUCAAAGGUGACUUGGCACACCGGAAUAUGCCAAGUGACGACUCUGAGUUUAAAUGUAAAUAAUCCUUUUUUGAAAUAAAUUUUCAUCUUUUGUCACUCAAUAAUAAUAAAAUCCUUUCAAACCUUAAAAUCAAUUAUUUUUGGUUAAAAAAGGGGUGCGACAAUACUCUAAUUCAUGCUAUGGUGUCAUUCAUACAAAAGUAAAGCUAUCCCAAUUCUUUUCCUACUUUGAUGUGUUCAGAUAUGUCUCAUUAUUGAAGUGAUUCAAGGGCAGAAGUUUAGAGUCUAAAUAAUAUGGUACUUCCUGAUUGAGUCAUAUAAGUUUUCAAAACUGUGCAAGGACUUGAGAAGAGUCUGUUAGUGAUUCAAGUUGUAUUGAUUCUGGGGUGAACUUUGAUUUUGAUGAAAUCAUGCUUUUUAGCCUAUGAUAUUAAGUGUAUUCAUUCCUUUUCGAAAGUUAUGUUGCAGAUGUCACGCAUAAGGUUGUUAUAGAAACCCCUUAUAGGCUGUGAAUGAAAAUGGCUAGAUUAGCCAGUAAGUUAUAAGUAUAGACUCAUUGUUGUAUGUGGAAUGUAAAGGUAGUAUAAAUGUAUGAUUGGGGUAAGUAAGUAUGAUGUGAGAAAAUCGAUUAUGUAGGUAAGAUCAUAUUGAGGUAUAAUAUAAGAUUAAGGUUGACCAUGUCUAUUAUGUGACUUUAACCCCUUGACCUUUUUUUCUUUGGUAGUUGUAAACUAGUACUACUUGUGAGAAGGUAUGUGGUAGAAUUUUGAGGUAUAGUAGUAAUGUCAUAAAGGUGUUUUGGUUGUGGGUAGUAUAUAGAUAAAAUGAGGUAUUUGGGUAAAACUUCCCAAUUUGAUGGACUAGUAUAUUAUCCUGCAUUCUUCAUUGGUAGUAGAUGGUUGAUGCUAUACAAUAGGCUUGAAUUUAAAGGUAGAAUAUGGUGGAAAGAAUAGUGGCUUAAGGUUAAUGUUGUAUGUUUUGUGGGAAUGAAUUAGUAGGCGUGAUGUGUUGAAAUAGUACGUGCUAAUGGACUAUAAUAAGGAAACCGUAAGGUCAUGAUCGAUUAUUGUUGUUAUGGAGUUCUAGUGUACUAGUGUUUCUUGAUGUUUUAUGUCAUAAUUUCCAAGUGAGAAUUGUGUGUAAGGUUGGGUUAUAAGUCAUGUUUAGCACUAGACAUUAAGUUUGAACAGUUGAUGGCCAUGAAGGUGGAUGUGAGGAUUUCUUGGUUAGUGAUACUAGUUUAUAAAAGUGAUCUAAUAGGCUUGAACAGUGUAUGCAAGAGCUUAAGUUUAUUUGAUUUGUAAUAAAGCAUGAUAUUGUAUGUAUGAUGUAGAAGUACACCCAAGGUAAUGUGAGGUUGCUGUAAAUCUUAUUUUUGGGCUAUUACAUGUUGUGUGUGGCUAGUGGUACCAUUGAGUUGCAAGGUGGAGAAAGACUAGUUAGAUGUUAUGUGGUGUUCAAAAUAGCCAAGUUAAGGAGUUUUGAUUGAUAGUGUUGAUCCUUUUUAUAUGAAAUUGAUUCUCAUGGUAGAGAGAUAUAAGUUAAGAGUCGGGAUAUUGGUAUUCUAUGAUGGGAUUAAUAUGGUUCAUCAAAGGCUUGGUAAUCCCUAUUAAGUGUUAGAAGCUAAGUUUGAGUCUUCUUGAAGAUUGAGCUAAUAGAAAUAAGAGUUAAAGCACUAAAGAGUGUGCACAACAACUUUUGGGAUAAUCAUGAAAGUGUACAACUAUUAUGUGAUGACUAUUGGGGUUAUAGAAAGAUAAGAGUGUGUCUCAGAAGGUAGUAUUAGGUGUAAUCAUUCGGGUUAAGUCCUAUUAAUUACGCGUAUUACCGUAUUCUAGACCACAGAGUGCAAUGAGUGUAGUUCAGUUUAGAGUCUAGUAAGGGAUCUGUCAAACUUAAGAUGAUGGCUUAAGGCUAAGGGGGAGAUGAUAGAACAAGUAUCCAAGUUAGGCUCUCAGAUUUUAGUAAUAAUGCCAAUAUGAUAUAGAACAGCAAAAAGUGAGGGUGAGGCUCAACCCAUUCUUAUCUCAGUAUUUUUCAGUUAUCCCAAUACCUACUCAUGCCUUACAUUUUGGUUCCACAAUCAUAGUUCAUGUUCAUGUGUAUGUUAGAGAAUCAUGUGUUCUUUCAGUUCCUAAAUGAGGAAAUUCCAGUUCAUUCGGUAGUCGAAAUCACAUUCGAUAAGUUAUGAACUCCAAAUUGAGGUCAUGCAGCUCAUGACUCAUGUACUCAUGCUUGAUGGUGUACUUAGUUCCCAUAACUCAUGUUACCCCGCCAAAUGGUUGGUGAGAUUCAGAUUUUAGCCAGGUAUGCCCACAAUUCAGAUCAUUUUGAUGGAUCCCUGAUGUUGAUUCGUUGUUCCUCAGGCCUCAGUUAAGUGUCAAGUUUUAUAUAGUAUCCUUCCAUGCUUCAAGGUCUUAUGUUCUAACCUUUUAGUGACUCUUCUUACUCAGUCUACAAGGUUACUCUUCUAAUGCCUUACGUUAUGUAUCCAAGUCCUACCUAUGUCUAAGGUUUGAGAACUUUAUGAACUAUCCCAAUAUAUCCAAGUCCUACCUAUCCCGACUUCCAAACUAGAAGAAAUAAUGUCCCUCGAUGAGUCGGUAAUUCUAGGUAUCCAAGCUCUAUAUUUUGUUGCUCAUGAAUAGUAAGUCUGUGUCCCAAAUAAUGAUUGGUUCUAGGGAAUUAUGUUUUUCAUAUGUUAACGACUUAUUUUAUGUUGGGAUUAUCCAAAAUGAUAAAGUUGUGCAAACUCAGACUAUUUCAGUUCGGAAACUGAGAAGCGGUAGCUGCGAGUAGAAGUCCUUGCCUAAAUCGUGGACUUCAUGAAUUCCACACUCAUGUUAUAAGAAUCAUAAUGAAAGCUCUCAUGUUUCACAUUGUGGUUGUCUUAAGAACUCAUGCUAUAUUGAGUUUAUGCCAGGACGACUCUCCACUUAUGAUCCAAACACUUGAUUCAUGAAAUCCUCCGUGAUUGUACCAUAUUUUUCAACUCAUGUCCAACCUUGAGUAUGGGAAUCAGUAUAUGUUAUACCCGAAUAAUGUUACACCCUUUCAUGAUGCUCUUGCCCAGGUCCUUCAAUAAACCUCUGUAUGCUAGUAUAAUGGUGGUUGUGGAAGCGUAGAAGUGUGUUAGGUGGGGGAAUAGAUAUUCUUAAAGGUGAAAAUUUUGAUGUGAUUCUCGAGCUAAGGUUAUAGGUGAAAGGAAAAGAAGGAGAUGAACUUUUGUUGUGUAAAAGCUGCAAAGGAGAAAUGUGACGAAAAUAGUUUUGAGAGUGAUUGAAAUUUGGCGGUCUUAGUAGGGAGAUCCUUGUAGUGGGUAUAGUAAUUAUUAGGCUUGAAUGUCCUGACUAAUGAAGACACAAACCUAUGUGCCAUGUGGUUAGUAUUCUUUGAAUUAAGACUAGAGAUUGUUGGAUUAUAGUGACGAGAUGAGGUGACUUCUUAAUGUGAUGUAGAGUGCAGGGUCCCGUGGUUUAAAUUAGCACCUCUUUCCUCUGGGUUAGGCUUGAAUAUAGAAGUAUUAUACGGAGGGACACAAAUUCUUGUGGUUAUAUGUGUUACGGGAGAAGAAUUGUAAGUUGGGAAUAAUGAAGUAUGCUUAUUAAUGUCGGGGUAUAGAUGAGAAGUGUUGCUAAGUUUAAGUCCUUUCAUUAUAUCUUGUAAGAUGGAGAAUGCUAAUACUCAUGCUCCGUGGGAAGCUUAUCACAUAUCUUGUACCAAUCUUAAUCAGGCCGCGGACUUUUAGAAAAAUUUAGGUCUUACAAUGUUUUGACCAUAUGCCAUAAAACACAUGCCAAGAUCAUGUUGAUGUCAAGUUUCGUUAUCUCAAGUUUCGUGCUUACUCGUUCCCUAGGGUUAUAAUGAAUAUCAUGUGAUGCCCUUGCAUAUUCUUAUUGGUAAAAAUAUAUUCAAAUCAAUAUUAUGUUCCUAAUUCUACGCUUUUAGAGAUGCAAAAAAAAGUCCCUACCAAUCAUUUGGGGAUGAAUAAUCCCAAAGGGGAGAUAAUGUAGCGCCCUAUACUUUUGGACUAGAAUCUAGACCGUCGUUCCUACGCGUAUAGACCCAAAUUAAAAAAUUCCUUGGUAUUAUAUGUGUGAUCUCCUAGUAUCAUGCUUAUAGAAUUGAAGACUUAAAAUUAUUCUAAGUGUCAAAAAGACACUUAGUCUCAUUUUUUACUUCCAAUCUUUGAGGAUUUUAUUUUCGACCUUCCCGACCCUCAAUAGUCGUUAUGUUGGCUAGUUCAUGAUCCGGGAGGUUAAUAGGUGUUCCCGAACGAGUUUUGGAUUUUUCAGAACGUGUUUAGACCUUGUUUGGUGUUCCAAAACAGUGGACCAACGUGAUCUUUACGAGCCGCGUUGCCCAUCGCUUUGGUCAGUUUUUGUGCAAGAAAGUACUGAGGCUCGACGCGAUGGUGGCGCGACGCAUCAAGUAUCGCGUCGAUGCCCUGACGCGCCUCGUUGCCUGCAGCGUCGAUGCCCAGUUUUCAAUUUUAAACUAUCCGCGUCCUAGAGGGUAAAUUAGUCAUUUUCCCCAUCUCUUUUCAGCCCUAACACGGGAUUUAUGUAAUGCCCCGCAAAAUCCUCUUCCAGUUAGAGCCUUAAGCAUAUUUGGUAAAGCGAAAUUCCGAGUCAAAAUUUUUAAGAAAUAUCCUCCCAAGUAUAAAAUACUUUGAAAUCGUUUGGGAAUCUAUUUGAGCAUGAAUUAAGAUCAUAGAGGUCCCCUAACUCAGGAACGAGUUAAAAACUUUCCUAUCGUUUAAGUUUUAGUGACCGUAAAAAUUUGGGUCAACUUCAAUCGACCAUAACUCGUUGUAUAUGAAGAAAUGGGUGGCUUUCUAUACAUCAAAUGAAAGAUCUUUGAAUUAUCUUUCCAACGAUACCAAUUUCGUCAAAAACCGAUAUUGGAGCAAAGAGUUAUGCCCAUUUUAUUCCAGAAUGUCAAGCUGGAAAACAGUCACGACGUUUCUGACGGGCUAUCACGUUUUUGACGACGUUUUUGACGACGUCGUCGCAUUCUGACGACAUCAUCGGCCCUGGGUAGAAAAUCAAGAAUUGGAGCCCUUUUUGUGACGACCAUUCGUGACGUCCUAUCACGGACCUGACGGCCUGUCACGGAUGGCGUCAAGAACAUUUUUCCAGCAAUUCAAGGGCGUUUUUGCAAGGGUAUUUUGGUCAUAUCCCACCUUUUUUUAGCCUCUAUAAAUAUGAGAAACCACAUUCAAACCCUAAAUUCAUCAUUUUUCUCUUCCAAUUCUCUCAAGAAUAUUUAUCUUGGGUUUUAUCAAGAAUCUUAAUCCUCCAAAAAUCAUCCAUAAAUCUUCAAGAUUUCUUCAAGAACUAAGUUCCUCAUAGUGUGGGCUUGGAGAAUCAUUUAUUACAAGUGGGGAUAGAGUCUCAAAUAUUAGAAUUCAUCCAAUUUCAAAGGUUAAGGUAUGUAGAUGUUGAUUCUUGGGUCCCUUUCAUCCAAGAAGCUCAAUAACCCUUUUUAAAACUAAUUUUUUUUUUAUGUUUAUGAGUUGUUAAUGAUUUGUAUGAUUUGAAAUGGAUGUUUAAUGUGUUGUUGAGUUUUGAUUUAUGUUUGCCUACAAAAUUUAUGACUUUUGACCCUAGUAUGUGGAAUUCAUGUGAUGUUUGUGAUAGACCCUCUUGAAGUUGUUUUUCCAUGUGAUGUGUUCGUGACUUUUGGGUGUAGAAAUGGUUGAAUAAGUGAAGAACGUUCCCCAUAGAUUUGAUAAAGUGCUUAGGUGAAGCAUAAGGGCCACUAUAGUAUGUUGAAUAGGAAACCCCAAAUUGUGAGCUAGUCCAUGCAUGCCUAGUGUUUGAUAAAAUGCCUUAGUGAGUGAAAUGUGUCAAGAUAGCAUGAAAUUCCCAAGUAGGUGUAACAUCGGUCAUGUCUAGUGGUUGUUGAAAGACCCUAGUGAACAAUUCGAGAUAUGAUGGUUGUAAAUUCCCCCAAUUAUGUGCUCUUGAUAUAUGUUAAGCUUUUAAUACAUGCCAAGUGGUUAGCAAGUAAGUUAUGACGUGAUAGUAUGAAGUCUCCCCAAGCCAUGGGAUAUCCAAACACAUGUCAAGAUCGAUAUAGGUAUGAAAUAGCUGAGGUAAAACCUUGUUGAAGAGAGUAAAAUCUAGUAGCAUGUUUCCCCUACGUUAUUAUAUGAUUAUGAUUCCAAGAUGCUUAAAGUAACUCCUUGGCAACUGUGAUUAUGAAUAGACAUUUGAUAUCCUUAAAUGCUUGAGGUGAUGAUUAAUGAUUGUGGAAGUGAACAUAUCGCUUGAUUCUUGAAUUACUUGUGAAGAUGCUUGAAUGAUUUUGAUGAUGCAUGAAUGCUUGUGAUGAUGAAUGAAUGAUGAUGCUUACUUUUAUGCUAUCGAGUCCUGGGGGUAUUUAUACCCGAAAAUAGAGCUGUUGUCUAGAGCCCGUGUCAAUUUCUCGAUAAUUCCAGUUGAGCCAUGAUUCUCAGAACUCAGUGAACUAUAGAACUCUAUAUCCUAAGACAAGUGCAGAACUUAAUAAAGCUCAGUAAUCUCAGAAAUCUCUAUAAUCUCUGUAAUGCUAGUAAUCUAGCCUUAGUCCUGUAAUCAGCUCAGAUCUAAUAGUAUUCAAGGGAUUCAAUUCUAAUCUCAGAAGUGAUUUGAUUAAUCUAUUCAAGCUCUGUAUCGUCAGUCAGAUACUAUGAUUCGAUGUCUUUUCCGUCAGAUACGGAACUAAGUAAUCUCAACGUAACUCAGUUAGAUAUUUUGAGAAACAUGAUCAGUAUCAGAUUCAGUUUAGUUGUGCUCAGUUAAGAAUUCAGUCAGUCUUUCCGUUGGGAGUAGAAACUAGCACCGAGCAAGCUCAAGGAUGGGAACUCACCUACUAGUAGAGGGUAUGAUUUUUAGAUGCAAUCUUUGUGCUCCAGAACUACGUAGCCAGCAUAAGUUUAGCAUCAUACCUACUAGUUGAGGGUAGAUGAGAGACAUCAUACCUGUUAGAUGAGGGUAGAUGAUAAGCUAUUGAAUAAACCAUUGGGGAUAUUUCAUGAUAAGCUAUUGCUUGUAAAUGCAAUGACUUUAAUUCUUGAAAUAUUGAAAAUUGUGAAUGGUAUAGAACCCGUAAGUUGAUUAUCUUGUAUGGAUAGAACUUUCAUGCUAUGAAGGUUGCCGAUCCCUUCUGGAAUGUUUUCUUGAAGUGACUUAUAAGAUAUCUCCAAAGUCUCCAACCUUGAGGCAUUCUAGAGUGACGUAGGAAUAAACCCUAUGAGCUUGUUACCCUUCAAGUUUAAUACUCUAAGGUUUAUAAGACUUCCAAUCUCUUUUGUUAUUUGACCCUCUAUGUGGACAUAUUAGAAAAUGAAAAGGGAUGGAACUAGUGAAACUGUUAUCUCCAAGAUUUAGAAUUUGAAGUUGGUGUAAAAUCCCAAACCAAGACAGAACCUCCCCACUGAAGUUGUUGAAACUUAAAUCAAGAAGCUUAAGCUGAUGCAAACGUGUCAUUUCCUGAGGCAAAUUUCCAUCGAAAUUGUUGCUUGCCAAGUCAAUAGAAGCAAAAAAUGUGAGGUUUCCAAAAUCACGGGGAAUCUUACCUAUAAGAGCCAUGUUGAAAAGAUUCAAGGACUUCACUCGCUGGUGGCGGGAGCCACAAGUGACUCCGACCCAAUGACAAACAUAUGUAGUUGGAGACUAGCUUUCAUUCAAAAAGUGAAAGGGGUCAGAAAUGAUUUGAAGUUAUAAAAAAAGAAGAGCUAAUUGAUCAGUGGUAGUGUUGGUUUGGGUCAUAGCUGAACUAACCAUAACAUAGAGAAGCAACAAGAGAAAAGAGGUGAAUAUUUUCUCCAUAAUUGCAUAAAUUAGUAGGAAAAUGGUAUGGCUAGUAACCUGUGGUAUUUGAGACUUUAUAUAGUGAUAAUUUUUAAGAAAUUCUUUUUUUGGAUACUUUUAUUUUAAAUGAUUUUUUGAAUAUUGUUCCCCAACUUAAUUUAUAUUAGGAAAAAGGCUCAAAUAUGCCACUGGACUAUUAGAAAUGGCUUAUUUAUGCCAUCAGUUAAAAGUUGAGCUCAUUUAUGUCAUCGCCGUUACAAAACCAGCACAUCCAUGCCAUUACUUUUUAACGGUGAUUUCCAAAAAUAACUUUUCCAUGUGGCCUUUUAUUAGAGGUCCACAUCAUUAAUUUAAAUAAGCAAAAAGACUCAAAUAUGCCAUUAAACUUUCAAAAAUGGCUCAUUUAUGCCAUCAGUUAAAAGUUUAUCUCAUUCAUGCCAUCACCGUUAUAAAAUCAACUCUCUCAUGCCAUUACUUUUUAAUGAUGGGUUUUUAAAAAUAGCUUUGAACGUGGUUUUUUAUUAGAAGUGCACGCCAUUAAUUAAAAGAAAUCAAUAUUAAUUUCAAAAUAUCUGAAAUAAGUUAGUAUCGAGAUUAUUUGUUCCAGCAUGUAUACCAUAAUGAUGGGAGAAGUAUCCCAUAUACAUGGCGGGAUAAUUGGAAUAGCAGACUUCUUUUAAGCCGUUAUUUGAAAAUAAUUUUUCAACAAUGUAUGCUCCACUAAUUCGUGAUGGGAGAAGUUAUUCCAUAUGCAUGGCAGGAUAAUUGGGAUAACAGACUUCUUUUAAGUCGUUAUUUGGAAAUGAUUUUUUCAAUAAUGUAUACUCCCCUAAUUCGUGAUGGGAGAAUGAAGAAGUUCUAUUGGUACACCUUUUUCUUUUUCUUGCUUGCCGUAGUCGUUCAUUGGUUUAUUUUCUUGAAAUUUUAGAGUAUAUAUUGGAGUCAUUGGAAUUAAAACUAAUUAGUUACUGUAGGAUAGAAUUUUUUAGGUUUCUGUUAAGUGUACACUUAUAAUGAUUUAGAAUCAACUAGAAAUAGCCAAAGUAUAUACAUUAAUCACUAUUUUUUAUUAGAAAAAUAGUUGUUGUUGUAGGAAAAAAAAUAUUUUAAUGGGUAUGGGUCGGGUUAUGUUAAAUGAAUCGGUUGUUUUUAAUGGAUCUAAGAUAUUUUGAAAUUAAUAUUUUUUUAUUUUAAUUAAUGUCACAGACCUCUAAUAAAAGACCAAAUGACAAAACUGUUUUUGAACCCACCACUAAAAAGUAAUGACAUGGGUGAGCCAAUUUUAUAACGGCGAUGACAUAUAAGCUGAACUUUUUACUGAUGGAAAAAAUGAGCCAUUUCUGAUAGUUUAAUGGCAUAUUUGAGCCUUUUUUCUUAUUUUAAUUAAUGACAUGGACAUUUAAUAAAAGGCCACGUGGCAAAGCUAUUUUGAAAAUCAACGUUAAAAAUUAAUAGAAUGGAUGAGCUGAUUUUGUAACGGUGAUGGCAUGAAUGAGCCAAACUUUUAACUUAUGGCAUAAAUGAUCCAUUUCUGAUAGUUCAAUGGCAUAUUUGAGCCUUUUUCCAUGUAUUUUCUAGCUUAGGUAGGGCCCAAGGACUUAACCAUUUAAAACAACCAAAUCAACUAAGUCUUGCAAACCGUGAUUGUUUGUUAACAUGUUUUACACAAAUUCAUCGGAAAGCAAGUAAAGCUGUCAAUAAAAAUGUAACACUGGACCUUGUGAGAAGCAGAGAGUCAUAACUUGAAUUUAUGGGUUAAAAUUCUAAAAUAGCCAGAUGUGUUAGGUGUUGAUAACCUUGUUCUGAAUUUAAAUUUGUACAUAUUUUGUUAAUAUUUUUAGUAAAAAUAUUGAUAUUUGGACUAAAGCUAUUGAGUUCAGUCUAACUCUCAGAAAACCUUCUACCUCCAUUCAGUACAUACUAAAGUGUGGGCACAAAUGUGAGUUUUGCUUGUGUGGGCACAUCAAGAAUUCAACUUGUUGAUAUUCUUGUGGUGUGUGUCUCACAUUUUUGAAAAUUAGAAUGCAAUAGUCCAUGAGUUCAAACCACAAAAAAGAGGGCUCUAUUUUAUUAAUAUCACAAUUUUCUUGCAAGGUGAUGUCAACAUUUUUUUUUUUUGAGUAGAGCAUCUAGCACCCUGAACUAUGAUUAAAUUUGCUACGACACACUCCAACUUCAUAGGGGUCCUAUUACCACCUGAACUAAAUUUUAGCACCCUGAACUAUGAUCAAAUUAUUUGAUCGUUUUCUCCCACCAAAUAACACAUAGAACAGAACAUCCCUCAUAUUCCAGACACUCGUAUUAUUUCUAUAUAUUUAGCAAUGUACAGACAUUCUCAGCAUAGCUAAAAUAUAAUUCUGAUAGAUACCACUUAGACGGGGAAAAUUGUUUAAGCAACCUUGUUGGACUCAGCUAUAUAAAUCCUCCACAUUCCAAUCAAAUAAUGGAAAAUUGCCAUUUAUUAUUGCGAACUAAAUAAGGACCAAGAAAACAUGUUGGUCCAAACACUGAGACUACAUAGGUCAAGGAAUAAAUUUUAAAGGGAGGUUUAGGCAAUCCGUGGCACGUAAAUACUUCCAACAAUUAAUCGUGGCUAUUGAUUUCUCUCAUAGCUAAGGUGUCUAUCAUCGCAACCUGAAAACUAAAAAUAUAAUCCUGGAUGAAACUGAAAACCUAAAGGUCUUCGAUUUUGGCCCGAAUGCUCUUUAUGAGACCAAAAGACAAGACGGACUCCUCCACACGACAUGUGGAACUCCAGCAUAGUCGCCCUGAUUUUCUUACUAUAUUUAAGUUUUACUUUUUCUUAGAAGGAAAAUAAAAGUUACCAUAAUUACUUUUACUUUUCCUGAAAGAAAAAAAUAUAAUUCUUUUCCAUAUUUGGCUAACCUCUUUCUUGGAGGAAAGGUUUUGGACAUCUAUAAAUAGAAGACCCCCUUCUCAUUCCAUAACACAAUAGCAUCCAUAAUGUAGUCUUUUAAGAGUUUUAUUUAAGGGGAGAUUUUAUCUCUAAUUAGUUUUAUGUUUUUUAAUAUUAAGUUUUAUAUGUAGGCCAAUUGGACAAAUCAUAUAAUAAAAUUAUGUUUUUAGUAUAGUUUUUUGUUGUCAUCUUAUUUAUCGUCUCAUAGUUUGCAACUAAUAGCUUCCGCCUGAUGCCCGCCCUCUCGAUUUCGAACCCAAUAAGUGGUAUCAAAUCUUACGGUUCAAUGGUCCAAUGGUGUGGUGAGACGAGAUUAAACAGGUUCAAAGCGGUUUCAAAAUCAAGUUGUAACCAAUUUGAUGAUAAUAAAGAUAUAUCUCCAAAAGCUACAUGUGGAGAUAAUUGUCAAUCAUAUUUUCAACAAUCCUGCUGUCACAUAUUUGAAAAUAAAGCUCACUUUUAACCCUACAAAAGGGCUCCAAUAUUUUUAACCCGAAAAGGGCUAAUAUAUUUUUUAACCCCAAAAGCUUCAUUUUUAAACAUGCUAAAUAACAGUGAUAUAUGAAGAAUAUAUAUGUAGAACAAAGAUCAUGCACAAGAAGAAGGAGGAUCAAGAAUAUUUUGAAGAAAAUCAAGCAAAAAAGGGGAGAUUGGUUAGGGUUUUUGCUCUUAUUUUUUUACUGUAUUUAAGUUUUACUUUUUCUUAGAAGGAAGAAAAUAAAAGUUACCAUAAUUACUUUUACUUUUCCUGAAAGAAAAAAAUAUAAUUCUUUUUCAUAUUUGGCUAACCUCUUUCUUGGAGGAAAGGUUUUGGAUAUCUAUAAAUAGAGAACCUCCUUCUCAUACCAUAACACAAUAGCAUCCACACUGUAGUCUUUUAAGAGUUUCGUUUAGGGGGAGAUUUUCUCUCUCAUUAGUUUUAUGCUUUUUAAUAUUAUUUUUAAUAUUAGGUUUUAUAUGUAGGCCAAUUGGCCAAAUCAUAUAAUAAAAUUAUGUUUUUAGUAUUAUUUUUCGUUGUCAUUUUAUUUAUCGUCUCAUAGUUUGCAACUAAUAACUUCCGCAUGACGCCCUCUCGAUUUCAAACCCAACAGACCCGAGCCUAGACCCUGGUUGCGAUGGGAAUCCCGAGCCACGUUGGCCUGAGAGGCCCCAUAACAUGCUAUCAUGACCAUAAUUUAUAUGAAAUAAAGGUGCGGAAGAUAAAACUGAAAUCCAAGUUGAUCUUAUAAUCAAAAUAUGUCAAUGAAGUUAUGACAAUACAAUACUCAAAUUCCAUCCACGAAGCCUCUACUGAAAACUAACUGUCUAGCCUGUUCAAGGUCCCCGGAUGAACCAUAAACUGAAAGAAGUUAACCUAUGAACAAAUGCCUUCUGAAAGAUGGAUGGCUCACCAACUCUGUCAUUAUGCCAAAUGUUCUACUGAUGUGAUGGACCAUGGUACUAUAACUCAGAACCUAUAAUAUGGGGGGUCAAUACUUGGAGAGUAUUGGUAUGUAGAACAAUCCAAAAAAAGACAUAUAUUUCGUAUAAUAUAAUUGAGAUCAUUGUGAAAACAGUUUAGCAUAAUAUAUAAAUAUAAAAACACAUAGGCAUAAUAUAAAAGCUUCAAUUCAUGCUUGUAAAACAUUGACUCGGCUCUUUAAUUUACUUCUGAGAUAGAUGGUACAACCUACAUUUCUAAAAUUCCACGGGCUAUACAAAAUCUGCCCUUAACUCGGUGGCCAAGCCCCCUAAUCCAAGUUUGCCGUAAGGAUUGGGGUCUUAUAGUCUAUUCUAGUAUAUCAGUGCCUCAGAGGGAAGUACACAUUGCACAUUGUCAAUCAUGUCUCCCAAAUCAGUAAAAAUUGGUUUCCAGCAAUGAGCCCUUACACUCAAAUUCCUUCUUCGAGUAACUUUCUAAGCAGUUUUAGUUCUUUAAGAUAAUGCUUUAUGCUCAAAAAUUUCAUUCACUUUCGUGACAAGGGCAUUUCAUAAUAGGUAUCGUCAUACCAACACUUGCAAGUCAUACUAUAUCAUAUCAAAACCAUAGCCCUUCUCAUUCAAAAUCAUGCAAAUGACCAUCAAACUAUUUAUAAAAUCACCUGAGCAUUCUUAUUUUCAAAAGCAUAUGAACCUUAUGCAAACACACUCUCUUUUCAAGACUUUAACACAUGGUGGUAAAUUCUUUCAUUAAUCACAUGCAGUUUUCUAAGGGAAAAUUUUGCAUGGGUUUAUGAUGAUUGGGUGCAAAUUCUAGUCAUCAAAUAUAUGGUAAGAUGGCUAGGUUGAAGAUUCUUGAGGCUAGUUUGUCAAUAAAGCCUCAAGAUUAUCACCCAUGGACCCUUUUGGGUACCUUAUGAGUGUGGCAAUCAAAACCACCUAAUACCUCAAUUGGGCAUCCCUAUUUCUAGGAAGAUGCCCAUGACCUAGCUAAUUCUCAACUCACCCUUAUUGUCAACUAUUGCCUUGUCACCCAUAUACCUCUUUCAAGGAUGAUAUAGGAUCCAAAAGUUCACCCACAUCCCUCUUUCAAGGAUGAUGUGAGAUUUUAAGAACUUGGGAUUUUCACCCGGCCCACAAAUCCAUUUUGGGCAUUUGGGAUUUUCACCCACAAAUUCCAACUAAGUCAAGAAAGCAAUAGUAAAACCCAUCAUCAAGAACCUAGAAUCUACACAAAUACAUCACAACCCACACAUAUUUGCACCUUAUUUCAACAUAAUCCCAAAAUAAAAAAAUUUAGCUACUCAUGAAGUUAGAGAGAAAAUAUAUACCAAAGGGUUCAUUCAAUGCAUCAAUGGUGAUUGAAAGUAAGAAAAUUCUCCAAUUAAACUUCAAUUUCACUAAACUCAAAUUGAAAAUUCAAAAACAAUAGUUUUUCCCAAUUAGUAGGGUUAAAAUUCUUAAAAUUCAAUUGUUUAAAGUCUAGAAUGACAAAAUGGGAAAAGGUUUUUUCCUUAUGAGGAAUUUGGCAUCGGCUAUAUAAAAUUAUAGAAUUUUCCCUGGGCAAUAGCCCAUAAUGCCGCGAUCGCUGCAGCAUGUCCACGAUCGUGGCCACUACUUCCACCAUCAGAUCCUCGUGAUCAUUGGAAGAUGACCAAAGUUGACUUUCCACGGUCGUGGCUCUCAGACCGUGAUCACGGUAACUGAGUCGUGUUUCUGUGCAGGGUCUUCCAGCUAUGCACUUCUCUUUUUGAUUCCUUUUCAGCUUAAAUCCACAUCUUUCUUUCUCAUUACCUGUAUACCUGCAAAAUGUUGAAAUUAGUGUAUUAAACUAACAAAUUUGUCUCAUUCAUACCUUCAAAUCAUAGUAGCGUGCACGAAUUUGGACAUAAGUGAGUGGUAAAUUUACAACUCAUCAACAACAUAGUUGAUAGCUUAUCACUAAGCUGAUGGCUUAUCAACCUAGUCAUCACCUUUCCUAAGUGAUGUAGGAUAUUUUCUGGUUAAGGAUGAUGGAGAGUUUGAUAUAUCAUCACUUAGUUGGUGUCUUAUAACUCAAGUCAUCACCUUGUUGACAGACGGACACUCUGAAGUAAAAUGAGCUUAACUUCCUACUCCGAUAUCGGAUUAAGGUGAAAUCUUAUUCGUUGGAAAGAAAAGUUGAAAUUUAGCAUGUCACGUAAUUCAUUAUAUUAUAGAAGUAACGAACAUUUGAAUUUUACCCAAGUAAGGAUGUCCGCUAAAACCCAUCGAUAGAAAAGUCCUCCACUCAUCUUUGAGUUAGAAGAUUUUUAUGAUCUCACUCGACCUCCAAAGAUGUUACCAUACUUUAGAUUUGAUCAUCACACUUAUAUUGAAAUAGAAUCAUUGGUUUCAGGUCUAUAGGUUCAAAUUCUAGCCCGAAAAUAUGGGGUAUUACAGUACGAUGGUGAAAAGGAGGAUAUUUUGUCAUGUGGGUUCAUUUUGGUUGUCUUGUUAGCUGCUUAUCUUCAAUUCCAUGAUGCAAAUUUAAUUGUAAUGUACAAGAAAAUUACUAAAGGGGAUUUCAAAUGUCCUGAAUAUUUCCCUUCUGUAGCGACAAAACUUCUUUCAAGAAUUCUUGAUCCAAAUCCAUUUUCAAGAAUCACAUUAGCUAAACCAAUGAACAAUAAUUGGUUCAAGAAAGGAUUCAAACAAAUUGAUAAACCACCAAUUUUGGAGCAAGAACAGGACAAAUCGCCUUGUAGUGUUUUCAAUAUUGUGGAUGAUUCAGAUGUAGAAAGCUCUUCAGGACACAAAGAGCAAAGUUCAUCAACAAUGAAGCCUACUUGUUUGAAUGCUUUUGAUAUCAUUUCUCUUUCUCCUGCUUUUGAUCUCUGUAGCUUGUUCGAGAAAGAUAAGAGCUGUAGAUCGGAUGCUAGAUUCACGACACAAAAUUCAGCAUCCACUAUCGUCUCGAGGCUACAGGAAGUAGCUUCGAUGAGAAGUUUUAAGGUACACUAUCGGAAUUGUAUGAUGAUCAUCUCAGUUUAAGUCUUAAACUGUUAGGGAGAACACACUUCAUUUACUUGAUUAUUAUUCGACAUGUCCAAUCAUUGUCGUAUAUGAGCUGGUCUAAUUCUUUAUUUUUUAUUAUCCUAGCACAUAAAAUUCAUUUAUAUGUGGUCUCAUACUAUGUUGAUAUUGUGCAAUACAUAAGUCGGAAAUAUCACUAAGAUAGUCCAACGGUUAAUUUCACAAUGUAUAAUUUCUGCUUCACUUGCGGGUUCACCUCAUCUAAAAGUUUAAUAUGAGCACCUUUACCUUAUGUGACUUUGCCUUUGUGACCAUCGUAGCUAAAUUUGAACAAGUAGACAUAAUUUACAUGACAUUCUACGUGUAUUCUGCGUGUGUCUAUGAGCAAACUUUAUUUACGCUAGCUUUCCACAGGUGAAGAAGAAAAACAGGACGGUGAAAAUGCAAAGAAGCAAGGAAGGGAGAAAAGGGAAACUAGCAAUUGAUGCAGAGAUAUUUGAGAUUACGCUAGCUUUCCAUGUUGUAGAAGUGAAAAAGAAAUCAGGACGUACUGCAGAAUACAGGAAGUUUUGUGAUCAAGGCUUAAAGCCUUCAUUAAAUGAUAGAGUUUGGACAUGGAAGGGCAAUGAGCAAUAACAUGUGGAAAAUCAAAACUUAGAGGCAAGAAUGUGAAAACAAAAAGAGCUGUGGGGAAGGAAUUAACAUUUUUCUAUUCUUAAUUGGUUGAUUUGGAAAAUCUUGAAGAAUGGAGGUUGAUUUUGUACUGUAUUGAAAGAAGAGAAAUUUAGGAACUUAAUUAUCUUUCUUCUUCAUUUGUCAUAUUCAAGUGAUGGAAUCGGUCACUUAUAUUUGUGUCAGGCAAGUUGCCCGCAUUACAACCCUUAGGUGUGACACUUGUCUAUAUCUUGGGUAAUGCAAGCAGGGGCGGACCUACAUAUAUUUUCGGGGUGCUCCGGCACCCAGUAAACUCGACACAGAAUAGGUAUAAUUACAUAAAAAAUAUACAAAAAUAGCUAUAAAACAUAUAAAAGCACCCACUGAAACAAAUGUUGAUUGGGUGCACUAGCAUUUAAGUUGAUCUUAAGCUUCUCCACUGAAGGGAUGUCCCGAGUUCGAACCUUGUUAAGGAGAUUUUUUAUUUUUUUUCAGCUUUUUAAUUUUUUAAGCAGCCACAAUCUUUAAAUCCCACGUCCGCCACUGAAUGCAAGGUACUUCGUGCACCGAGCUACCCUUUUUGUCAUAGCUCUUUUUGUUUGUCGUCUUGAUGUUAUAUGUCAUCAGUGUUUCCCAUGUAAAACAUUUACUGUAUUAAUUGUUAUUUGUAUUCAUGUUAAUUCCUCUAACAAUUUUUAAAAAAAUAUUCUGCUUGAGAUUUUCAAAAGGAUUAAUUUGGUCUUUGUAAUUCAAUUUAUAGUUACAAGUUCCAUCAUUUUGCAACAUUAAUAUUAAGAGGAAAUCAAGUGCUAAAACAAAACCAAAAAAAAAAGAAAUAUUUACAUGAAUCCACUAAUGUAGCAAAUAUUUGCAACAAACAAGUCACCUGAAACGAUGAGAGAUUCCAAGAACAUGCUUAGCAUGCAAGAAGUUGAAUCUUGAUCUUUUGUAGCGUCCCUACAACGUCUUUCAUGUUUGUCCUUCCUGUCGGAGAUUCAACACAACAAUCUAAUGCCACUUUCAUUAUUGAUGCCACAACAUCAAUCUCCUUCUGUAAGCGAUUGCCACUUGAUGUUAGCAAGUUGGCAUCUACGAUGUCCAUUACUGCCUCUUGAAGUGAACAACUCACCCAUAGCUUCAAGCUAAGAUCACCCUCAAACUGGUUAGGCUUUCUCCUGGUAAAUGUUUCUAGCAACAUGAUCCCGUAGAUAUAGACAUCACACUUUGUUGAUACCAAACCAUCCUGUCCAUACUCUACAGUCAAACAAUUAAUAUAAAGAUGUAAUAUACAUUCCACUUGGGAAAAAAGAGAGGAAAAAUCAACAAAACUAAGAGGCGUAUCUGGUGCAAUAUACCCCAAUGUUGCUAUAGUUUUAGUGUAUAAAUCACUCUCAUCGUCACCAAGCACUUUUGAAAUGCCAAAGUCACUUAGGUGGGUAACCAUAUCCUCAUCCAGCAAGACAUUACAAGGCUUCAGAUCACAAUGAAUCACAGGUGACGAGCACCCACGGUGAAGAUAUUCUAAUGCACAUGCAGCAUCUAUCAUUAUGCUUAGUCUCUGCUUGAUGUCGAGGAAGUAGUUGUGCGAAUACAAAAACUUGUCAAGACUACCAUUAGGCAUAUACUCCAACACUAAAGCCUUAAAAUAAACGUUGGAACAACAAGUGAUGACUUUUACGAGAUUCCUAUGGAGAAGGUUGCGCAGAACUUCACAUUCCGUAUCAAAGCUCUUGAAUGCCUCAUCCACUUGUAGAUUGAACACUUUAACUGCAAUGGCAGUUUCACUUCUGAGAAUGCCUUUGUAAACAGAGCCAAAACUUCCAGAACCAACCAGAUUACUCUCGCGAAGCACAUCAGUUGCUUGGAGCUAUUCAUAGUAUGAAAUUGUUUCUCUUGUUAUGGAAACCAAUGAAUCAGUUUGUUGAGGAUCUCUUUUGCGUCUUUUGUACCUUAUCCAUACACACACUAAGAUGAAAGGUGAAAAUAGAAGUGUGAUUCCCAGCAAAAGAUAUAGAACUAGAAAUUUUUUCCUGUUUCAUUUGUGCUUUGAUGAAGUGGGGCACGGCGGGACACUAAAUCCUGAAGAACCACCCAAUGCUUCAUUGUAGAUGAAAAACUGCCUCGAGAGGUUCUUGAAAGGACCCCUCGAGGGUAUUUCACCAAAAAACUUGUUGACAGAAACAUUGAAAUACUUCAGGUUUUGAAGUUUCUCUAAAGACUUGGGAAUGGUUCUGUCACGGCCCGAGACGGGACCCUAGCCGUGACGAACAUCCCGAACUAUGAAGGCUCGGAUGCCCUUCUCUAUCUGAUAAUCAUGCAUAAUAUUCAUACAAUAAUAGAAGAUGCGGAAAACGUAAAUCAAUAUGGAACUAUAGCCAUACUUUGUGUUCAAAAAUAAUAAAGAAGACUGCAAGUCAACAACAUCUAGAUAAUCUUUGACUCAGUCUGCGAAAUCUUUACUACAUACGAAAACUGGGAUAAGGCCCCCAGCGGACCAAAACCAACAUAAAUAAUAAAAGUCUGAAAGACAUAGGCCUUCCGGAAUAAAGAAAGCUCCCCAACUGCAAAAUUCACUUCAAUUUGGAAACUCUACGGCUUCGCAUGACCUCUAGACUGAGCCUCAGAUCCUGAAAGGUAGGGGUCAAUACAAUUGUACUGGUACACAGAGCAAAUCCAAAAUAAUAAUUUUUAUUUAACAUAAGUAAGAGCAAUUUGAAAACAGUUCAUAAACAUAACAUAUGAUGAAAAAAUACAUGGGCAUAUUUAAAAGACUAUGAACAAUCAUCUGAAAACUCUGUGACUAACUCUUUAUUUUACUUCUGUGCUAGGUGGUAUACGCUACAACUUUGAAAUUCCAUGGGCUAUAUGGAAUCUGCCCUUAACUCGGCAGCCAAGCCCAACCCAAGUUUGCCGCAAGAGUUGGAGUCUCUGUCUCUAUAUGUCACAGGGCACUAGGCCAGUGUGUAAUCCCUCUUGGGGAAAUAAUGAACCCGUAUUAGCAAAACACGGUUUUGGUCUAAGAGUUAUUUGAACUCAAGCCUUCUUCGAGUAACCACCUAACCCUCUUUAAGCCCAUUUUUAACUCUUUAAAACGUGCAUUCUCUGAAAUCAAACUCUAAAAACGCUUACUCUGUUAUGGCAUACACUCAUAUGGUAUCGCCAUACCAUUGACUUGCAAGUCACAUCUCUGAGCCAUUAUUAGCAUAUUAAAAUAUCUACAUUUAAAACAUAAGUUUGGGACCACCAUAUCAAUAAAUCAGUUCAAAGAACGCUUUCUUUAAAUUCAUGUAAACACAUAAAAGGAACUUUCACUUUGUCAACAUUUCAAUAACAUAAGGUGGUCAUGUCAAUUUACUCAACAACAUGCAAUUCACUCUUUUAAACAAUCAUAUAGGUAUAACAAAAAAUUCUCUCUCAUCAUCUCUAAAUUAUGUCAAAUACUUGGAUAUUGAAAAAACCACUUUUAAAUCAUAAAACAUGUAUUUCAAAUCAUUCUCAAUAAGUUCAUAAACUCUAAUUCAUCAAAAGAGAGGGAUUUCAAUAAUAAUUCUCUCAAUCAAAUCUUCAAUUUCAUAAAUAUAAAUAUAGGUAUAAAUCAAUUUAAGGGAAAAGACCACAAGGCCAAAACAAUUCUACCAUUAAAAGGUUCUAAUGCAUAACUUAAAACAUAGGAUCCAAAACCCCUUUAUAAAUUCAUGCUUGAUAACCUUAAAUCAUAUUCAAGAGAUUCAACAAGCUCUUGUAGUUUUAGGAUGAACCCCACGUACCUUAAUUGCGAAGAAUUCAUGAAGAAGUUUCGAAAAGAUUGGACCUUUAAGCUUGAUUGCUCAAACCCUAGUUGUUUUCUCCUCUUGUGUUCUUGAAGGAUGAACUAGGGAUCUUAGGAGGGUUUUGACAUUUAUAAUAAGCCUAAAUUCGUUUAAGGAUGAUUAGAGACGAUUUUGGGAUGUGAAAGGACUUAGUUUCUCUUAAAAUGACUAAAAAAUAUGAAUUUAUGUCGUUGUUAGGCCAUAAGGUAUACACCACAUUGCCCAUCCCGUCAGUUACGCUGGGCAGAACCUAACUUAUGGUAUAAGCUAGGUUGGGAGGAACCUAACUUAUGGCAUAACCAUUCCAGUGGACUUAGGCGAUUUGUUAGGCGACACACUCCACUUUGCAAAGUCAUAACUUUUUGCUCGGUUAUCGAAUUUAGGUGAAAUUGGUAUCGUUGGAAAGCUACUUCGAAGACCUUUCAUUUGAUAAAUAGUAGGACCUAUAAUUUGUUAUAUAUAAAAAUUUAUUAUCGAUGGAAGUUUACCCAAGUUUAAACAUCCACUAAAACUUAAUCGCUAGAAAUGUUUUCAACUCGUCGUAGAGUUAGGAGAUUUUUGUGACCUCAAUUCAUAUUCAAAGGUAUUACCACAUUAUAGGAUUGAUAACCACACAUAUAUUAAUAUGAAAUAAUCUAGUUCGGGUCUAUACGUGUAGGAACGACGUUCUAGAUUCUAGCCCAGAAGUACGGGGCAUUACAGGCUCCUGAUAUAUUAUUAUGAGAAAGGUCUAGGAAUAGGUCUUUCAAUGUUUUUUAACAUAGAACCUAUGUUUGGUGGGAGGCUUCCUGAUAGAUUGUUGUAUGAAAGAUCAAUUUCUCUCAGCCCGGAUAUGUUGAAGAUCUCCAUAUAAAGUGAACCACUAAAACUAUUGGUCGAAAGAUCAAGUAGCUCCAACUCAACAACAUUGCUUAUCUCUUUGGGUAUUUCACCUGUCAACACAUGAAGAAAGAAUAAAUACAAGUGAAAUGAAAUAGUUAGCUUAUCUCAUUUAGUGUUUCUUGUCACACUUUCUAAGAUUUAUUGGUAAUUGUUACAUUUUAUUACCCAUUACAUGCAUAUAUUCAUAGAAAUUUAAUAGUUCUAAUGGAUAUAUAAAAAUUAACAUGCGACACAUGUCCAUUGCACGCGUAUAUAGAGAGAGACACCAUUUGAAUAUAUAUGUACCUAUAAGCAUAUUCCCACUAAUCUGUAGAUGUUGCAUCUUGGUUAAGUUGCCAAUCGCCAGUGGUAAGUAUCCACGAAGAUUGUUCUGCCACGCUGAAAAAAUUUGCAGCAAUGAGAUAUUGUCACGAUCCGAACCUAGGCCCAGGCCGUGACGAGCAAACUGAACCAUGAAGGCCCGGACGCCCAUCUAACUUGUAACUCAUACACCAUUCAUAUACAGAAAAGAAAUGCGGAAAUAUAACUGAAUAAGGGAUGUUGGUCAUGCUCUGAAAAAAACAUAAUGUUAAAGACUGCAAUUCGACAACAUUAAAAUAAUAUCUGAUUCAGCCUGCGAAAUCUCUACUACAUAAGAACAAAGCUGUCUGAAAAUUGGGAUAAGGCCCCCAGUAGACCAAAACCAUAAUAACGAUAAAUGAAUGAAGGAAAUUAGGCCUUCUGAAAUAUGGAAGGCUCACCAACUGAACUAUGCACUUUAGUCUUAAGAAGUCUACUGCUUAUCCGGACCCCUAGAUUAUGCCUCGGAACCUAAGAGGUAGCGGGUCAAUACAGUUGUACAGGUAUGCAGAGGAAAACCAAAAUAGUAAUUGGUAUUCAACAUAUAUGAGAGCAAUUUAAAACAAUUCAUAAAUAUAUCAUAAGGUAAAAUCACAUGGGCAUAUUUAAAAGACUCUAUAAAAUCAUCUGAACUAUGUGACACUUUGUUUUACUUCUGCGCUAGGUGGUAUACCCUACAAUUCUGUAAUUCUACGGGCUAUAUGAAAUAUGCCCUUAACUCAGUAGCCAAGCCCCCAACCCAAGUUUGCCGCAAGGGUCAGAGUCUCUAAAUCUUUACUACGCCACAGGUCCCGUCGCUAGCGUACAAAAGUAACAUACCCAUAUUGGCAAAAUACGGAUUUAGGCUAUCAUUCGAUUGACUCAUGCCCUCUUCAGGUAACCACCUAACCCUAUUUAAGCCCAUUUUUUAUUAUUUACAACAUGCAAAAUCUGAAAUAAAGUUUUGAAGACUCUAAUUUUGCUAUGGCAUAUAUUUAAAUGGUAUCGUCAUACCAUUGACUUGCAAGUCAUAUUCUCUGAGCUAUUUGUAGCAAUUUAUGUCUCUAUUCUCAAAUCAUGGGAUUCAGGACCACAAUAUCAACAAUUCUUUUCAAGAAACUUAGUCUUUAAAACUCAUGUAAAACCAUGCAAGCAAUUCUCUUUAUCAAUAAUUCAAUAAACAAAGGUGGUCAUGUCAAAAUUCUUAAUUUAAUGAAAUUAUUUCUCUUUAACACAAAACAUAGUGAUAUUAAGAAGCAUCCUCUCAUCAUCUCUAAAACAUGCAUUGAAACUCUUUUUCGACAAAACCAUAAACUUUAAUUCAAUACAAGAGAGGGAGUUCAUAAUUUGCGCUCUCAAACAAUCUUCAAUCUUAAUUUUCAUACAUAGACAUAUACAUGUAAAUCAAUUUAGGGGAAAGGACUACAAGGCCAAAGAAAUAGUAACAUUGAAACAUUCGGAAUACAUAAUUUAAAACAUGGAUUCCAAAACCCUUUUAAAAUUCAUGCUUAAUAUUCUUAAAAUCAUGCUCUAGUGUUUUCAAGCCCAUGUAGUUUUUAGGAUAAACCUCACGUACCUUAGACUAUGAGAGUUGAAAGAUGGAACCUAGAUCUUGAUAGAUGGAACCUAGAUCUUGACCCUUUUCUUGGAGUCUUGAACUUAAGAUCUUGAUUCUUGAUCUUGAGGGAAAGGAUUUAGGGUUUUAAUUUGAGAGGAAAAAUUGAAUUAUGGAGUGCAUUCUGCUUCUGGGGUGUGAAUCUUAUGUUAUGGACAGACCUUGGGUGAGGUAAAGGUCCAAAUUGCCCUUAAAAACUGUAAAACAAAACCUGAAAUUUAGGUACGUGCGACGGAGCGUGCGUCGCACGCUAAUCGCGCGCAGCUACGAUCUCUCUCACGAAAAUGGCUGUAACUUUUUGCUCGGGUAUCGAAUUUUGGUGAAAUUGGUAUUGUUGAAAAGCUACUUCGCAGACCUUUCAUUUGAUAUAUAAUAGACCAUUUAAUUUGAUAUAUACAAGAAGUUAUGGUCAAUGGAAGUUGACCUAAGUUUAAACGUCCACUGAAACUUAAUCGCUAGAAAUGUUUUCAACUCGUCUUAGAGUUAGGGAAUUUUUGUGACCUUAAUUCAUAUUUAAGGGUAUUCCCGCACUAUAGUUUGAUAACCACACAUAUAUUAACAAGGAAUUAUCUAGGUUGGAUCUAUACGCAUAGGAAUAACGGUCUAGAUUCUAGCCCAAAAGUACGGGGUGUUACAUUAUCUCCCUGUUGGGAUCAUUCAUCCCUGAAUGAUAACGCGGAACAUAGACAAGCACGAUUACAAUCAUACUAAGGAUAUGGAAAGAAUAAAAACAAAGAUUGUACCUUCCGCUUCUUCAUCCGCCGGAUCAAAAAGGUUUGGGUAUCUUUUUCGCAUGUCAUCUUCUAAUUCCCAAGUAGCUUCUUUAACUUUUUAGUUUUUCCACAAAACUUUAACCGAUGCUAUCUCUUUGCUUCUCAACUUUAGAAUUUGGCGAUCUAAGAUUGCAAUCGGCUCUUCUUCAUAGGAUAAGGUGUCUGUCACUUUAAUUUUCUCUACAGACAACACUAAAGAAUGGUCUCUAAUACAUUUCUUCAACAUGGAUCUAUGAAAUACCGGAUGAACAGAACCAAAACUUGCAAGAAACUCUAACUCAUACGCAACCCCACCUAUUCUUCUCAAAAUCUAAUAUGGCCCUAUAUAGCGAGGACUCAGCUUACCUUUCUUUAUGAAGCGCAUGACUCCCUUCAUAGGGGAAACUUUGAGAAAUGCCCAAUCACCAAUCCCAAAUUCCAAAUCUCUUCUCCUAACAUCGAUGUAGGACUUUUGAUGGCUCUGAGAUAUCUUGAGUAGUUCUAUAAUGAUUCUCACAUCCUCCAUCGCCUGAUGAACAAGAUCAUGCCCAAACAACCACGUCUUCCCUAUUUCAUACCACCCUAUUGGUGACCUACAUCUCCUAUCAUACAAUUCCUCAAAAGUAGCCAUCUUAAUACUGGCGUGGUAGCUAUUAUUAUAUGCAAACUCUAUCAAUGGCAAGUGAUCUACCCAGCUACCUUUGAAGUCAAUUGCACAGGCUCUCAACAUAUCCUCAAGGGUCUGAAUGGUAUGCUAGGCUUGCCCAUCGGUCUGAAGGUGAAACGCAGUACUUAGGUUCACUUGGGUACCUAAACCCCUAUGAAAAGAACUCCAAAACUGUGAAGAGAAUUGCAUACCUUGGUCAAAUAUGAUGGAUACAGGUGCCCCAUGUAGGCGAAUUAUCUCCUCAAUGUACAACUUGGCAUAGUCAUCUACCGAAUAAUUAGUCCUUACAGGCAAAGAGUGAGCUGACUUGGUCAGACGGUCAACAAUCUCCCAGAUAGAAUCAUACUGUUUUGGGACCUCGAAAACUUCGUAAUGAAGUCCAUAUUGAUCAUCUCCCACUUCCACAAAGGCAAAGAUAUCUCUUGGGAAGUACCACCUGGCCUUAUAUGCUCUACUUUAACUUGUUGGCAGUUCAAACACUUAGAAACAUAGUUAGCCACAUCACGCUUCAUAUUAUUCCACCAAUAUAUAGCCUUUAGAUCAUGAUACAUCUUAGUAGAGUCGGGGUGAACAACAUACCUCGAAGUGUGAGCUUCAUCAAGGAUUCUUUUCCGCAGACUAUCUCCAUCUGGCACACAUAAUCCACCCUGAUAUCUCAGAAUACCAUCACCACCAAUUUCAAAGGACAUCACCUUCUAUUGACCCAUAUCUUUCUUGAUCUGCAUCAAGAUGGGAUCUUCAACCUGCUUCUCCUUAACUUCUGCACAAAGGGAAUAUUUAUCUAUUUCAUGGACAAUCACUCCUCCAUCUUCAAAAUCCAAGAGUCGCACCUCUAGAUUUGCAAGUCGGUGAAUAUCCUUCACCAUCUCCCUCUUCCCUUUCUCAACAAGAGGAAGACUGCCCAUAGAUAACCUACUGAGUGUGUCGGCUACCACAUUCACCUUUCCCAGAUGACAUUUCAAGCUCAUGUCAUAAUCCUUCAAAAUCUCCAACCAACGUCUCUGCCUGAGGUUCUAUUCUUUCUGCGAGAAAACAUACUAUAAACUCAUGUGGCUAGUAAAUAUAUCAACAUGCAUCUUACAAAGUUAAUGCCACCAGAUUUUAAGCGCAAACACCACAGCCUCUAACUCCAAGUCAUGGGUGUGGUAAUAGCGCUCAUGCACUUUUAACUGCAUAGAUGCAUAAGCCACCACCUUACCAUGCUGCAUUAUUAAGACCAAAGUCCCACACAGGACGCAUCACAGUACACAACAAAACCCUCUGUACCUUCCGAAAGGGUCAAAACAGGAGCAGUUGUCAACUUAUCUUUCAACUUCUCAAAACUAUUCUCACAGGAGUCAAGCCACACAAACUUCACCUUCUUUUGUGUUAACUUAGUAAAUGGAGCAGCUAUGUAAGAAAAAGUCUCUACGAACCUUCUGUAAUACCCUGGCAAACCCAAGAAGCUCUGAAUAUUGGUUGGAGUCGAGGGUCUGGGCAAUUUUCUCACUACCUCAACCUCUUAGGGAUCAACCUUAAUUCCCUCACUAGACACAAUAUGCCCCAAGAAUGUAAUAGCAUUUAACCAGAGUUCACACUUGCAAAAUCUUACAUAUAACUUAUGAUCUUUGAGAGUCUAAAGAAUGAUUCGGAGGUGAUUGGCAUGGUCCUCCUCACUCUUGGAAUAAAUAAGAAUAUCAUCAAUGAAAACUAUAACCAACAGAUCUAAAAACUGACAAAAGAUCCAUGAAGGUUGCAGGGGCGUUAGUCAAGGACAUGACUAUGAAUUCAUAAUGCCUAUAGCAGGUUCAGAAAGCUGUUUUGCGAAUAUCUGACUCUAACCUUCAACUGAUGAUAUCCCGAACGAAGGUCUAUCUUUGUAAAACAUCUAGCCCGCUGAAGCUGGUAAAAAAGAUCAUCAAUUCUAGGAAUAGGAUAUUUAUUUUUAAUAGUGACCUUAUUCAGCAGUCUAUACACAUACACAGGGAACCAUUUUUAUUUUGCAUAAAGAGUACAGGUGCACCCCAGGGAAAGACACUAGGAUGGAUAAAAACUUUGUCUAGAAGGUUUACUAACUAUUCUUUCAACUCUUUCAGUUCUGCAAAAGCCAUUCUAUAUGGCGGAAUAUAGAUGGGAUGGGUGUCUAGCAGUAAGUCAAUACCCAUAUCUAUCUCCCUAUCAGGUGGUAUUCCUGGGAGAUCACCCGAAAAGACUUUGGGAAAUUCAUUUACCACAGGGACUGACUGAAGAGAAGGACUCUCAACAUUAGAAUCCUUUACCCAAAUUAGAUGAUAUAGACAACCUCUAGAAAUGAGCUUACGGUCUCUAACAUAAGAUAUAAAGUUCCCUCUAAGUGCUAAAGAAUGUCCCUCCCACUCUAUCGCCGAUUCAUUCGGGAAGGAAAAACUGACUCUUCGGGUUCUACAAUCUAGUAUAGCAUAGGACGAAUGGAGCCAGUCCAUCCCUAAGAUAGCAUCGAAGUGAACCAUCUCAAGAUCUGUGAGGUCUCCCAUCGUAUCCCAACUAUAAACAGACACAACACAAUUUCUGUACACCCUCCUAGCCAUAAAAAAAUCUCCCACAUAAGUGAAAACAGAGAAAGGUUAAGUAAUCACAACAGACUCAAACCCAAAACCACAGCCACAUAAGGGGUCACAUAAGAUAGGGUAGACCCGGGAUCAAGUAACACAUGCAUAUCACGAGAGAAAAUCUGUAACGUACCUAUGACAAUAUCUAAGGAAGCUUCUGCAUCCUGGCGGUUGUUCAAAGCAUACAACCAGUUGCAAUCGCUCUCGGCAGCUGAAGUGGCACCCUUCUAAGAUGGCGGUGGCGUAGAAGAAUUAUUCUGUGAAUUGGCUCCCCCAACAUUACCUCUCGCUACCAGAUAAUCCCUUCGGAUAUAGCCUGGCUGGCUGCACGAAUAACAUACCAUCGCGCCAAAUUGGUAUCUCCUUGGAUGAUUUCUCCCAUAUCUCCCACGACACGAGUAUGACCGAGAGGUAUGAGCUACACUCUCCUGAGACUGCGCACGCUGCACUCUUAGCCCAUAACUAGACUGAAAAUUUUAGGGUCGCUGGUCGGAUGGGGGUAUGGACACCAAAGUACUGACUGCGGACUGUGCAUUAACCCAAUUCUUUUUAUUCUUCUAUCUAUUACCCCAAUUACCACUUUGUGGCUGACUCUGACCCUGGACUAUAGUCCUGGCUCUCAUUGCUUGCCUAUCCUUCUCCCUAGAUUCAGCGAUUCUCUUUUUCUUCUCUUUCACCUACUGCUUGUGGACUGUCAGUCUAGAGAAGUCCAUAUCCCUAUUUAGCAUUUCCCUCUUGCAGUCGAGCACUAAGUCAUCAAAAAGGUCGGAUGCAAAUUUUCUUAUUCGGGCUCUUAUAUUACCAGUCAUCUCCGGAGAAUAACGGGCUAGUUGGUUGAACUUCAAAGUGUACUCCUUAAAACUCAUUUUCCCCUACUUUAGAUUCAUAAACUUUUUAUCUUUGGCCUCUCUCAAAUCUAGAGUAAAGAACCGAUCAAGGAAGGCUUCCACGAACUCGCCCCAUACUGUGGGCUCAGCAUUCUCACCCUUUGAAUCAUUCCACUCACUAUAUCACUGAUUCGUAACUUUUUUAAGCUGAUAAGCUGCCAAUUCCACCCCUUCCACCUCAUUUACAUACAUCACUCUAAAAAUCUUCUCCAUUUUAUCCACAAACUCCUGUGGAUCUUUCUCUACCUUGGUGCUGGAAAACUUGGGCGGGUUCAUUCUUAUAAACCGACCCACCCUAGUAGCCUCAGGUAUAACAGAUGCAGACUUAACCUCUUUCGAUCAUUGAGUUUGUGUGUCCACCUACUGCACAAGUAUAUGAAUGGACUAUGUAAUUCUGGAUUAGAUACCUCUCUUUCAUAAGGCUGAGUACGGUUAGUCCCCAUCCGAAGAGCUCGAGGUGCCCUGUGUGGGAAGGUCUAAGUAGGUGGGACUCCUGGAGUAACAACAGCCUUCAGAGUUUGAGCUCUGUUUUAUUUUUCAUCCCAUGAGUGCGACUGAUCUCAUCAGUCUGGCAUUUUGAUCGAUAACGUGACGUGAAGGCAUGGCUAUUUUCUGAAAUGCAAGAAAUCAUUAAUUUGAGGAUAGAUUAGACUCCAAAGCAUGAAUUAAAUCACAAAAAGGGAAAACAUUUCUAAAUGCCUAGUAGUCUCUUGCUUAUAAGUGUGGUGCGCUACAUACCCAUAAAUAAAACUCAACCCAAUGCAAUUUUGCAGACACCCUGGGACUAUGAACCGUGCUCGGAUACCAAAUUUGUCAUAACCCGAAUAUAGGCCCUGGCUAUAAUGAGCAAACCGAACCAUGAAAGUCCGGACAGCCAUCUAACUUGUAAUCACAUACACCAUUCAUAUACAGAAAGGAAAUGUGGAAAUAUAACUGAAUAAGGGGUCAUGGUCAUGCUCUGAAAACAACAUAGUGUUAAAGAAUGCAAUUCAACAACGUUAAAAUAAUAUCUGACUCAGUUUGCAUAAUCUCUACUACAUAAGAACAAAGCUGUCUGAAAACUGGGACAAGGCCCCCAGUAGACCAAAACCAUAAUAAUGAUAAAUUACUGAAUGAAAUUAGGCCUUCGUAAAUAUGUAAGGCUCGCCAACUGAACUCUGCACUUCGGUCUGAAGAAGUCUACUGCUUAUCCGGACCCCAAGAUUGUGCCUCAGAACCUGAGAGGUAGGGGUUAAUAAAAUGGUACUGGUACAUAGAGGAAAUCCAAAAUAGUAAUUGGUAUUCAACAUAAAUGAGAAAAAUUUAAAACAAUUCAUAAAUAUAUCAUACGGUAAAAUCACAUGGGCAUAUUUAAAAGACUCUGUAAAAUCAUCUGAACUCUGUGACACUCUUUGUUUUACGUCUGCGCUAGGUGGUAUACCCUACAAUUUUGUAAUUCCAUGGGCUAUAUGGAAGUUUCCCUUACCUCGGCAACCAAGCCCCCAACCCAAGUUUGUCGUAAGGGUCGGAGUCUCUGAAUCUCUACUACGCCACAGGGCCGUCGCCAGUGUACAAAAGUAACAUACCCGUAUUGGUAAAAUACAAUUUUAGUCUAUGAGUCAAUUGACCCGUUCCCUCUUUGGGUAACCACCUAACCCUAUUUAAGCUCAUUUUUAAUUCUUUACAACAUCCAAACUUUGAAAUCAAGUUUUGAAGACUUUAGUUUUUCUAUGGCAUAUAUUUUUAUGGUAUUGUCAUACCAUUGAAUUGCAAGUCACAUUCUCUGAGCCAUUUAUAGAAACUUAUGUCUCUAUUCUCAAAUCAUGGAAUUCAGGACCACCAUAUCAAUAAUUCUCUUCAAGAAACUCAGUCUUUAAAACUCAUGUAAAACCAUGCAAGCAAUUCUCUUUAUCAAAAAUUCAACAAAGAAAGGUGGUUAUGUCAAAAUUCAUAAUUUCAUGCAAUUCUUUCUCUUUAACACAAAACAUGGUUAUAUGAAGAAACACCCUCUCGUCAUCUCUAAAUCAUGUUCAAAUACUAUGACAUUGAGAAAACUACUUUCAAUCAUAAAAUCUGCAUUUUAACUCUUUUCCGACAAAACCAUAAACUUCAAUUAAAUACAAGAGAGAGAGUUCAUAAUUUGUGCUCUCAAACAAUCUUCAAUCUCAAUUUUCAUACAUAUACAUGUAAAUCAAUUUAGGGGAAAGGACCACAAGGACAAAGCAAUAGUAACAUUGAAAUAUUCGAAAUACUUAAUUUAAAACGUAGAUUCCAAAACCCUUUUAAAAUUCAUUCUUAAUAAUCUUAAAAUCAUGCUCUAGUGUUUUCAAGCCCAUGUAGUGUUUAGGAUAAACCCCACAAACCCUAGACUAUAAGAGUUAGAAGAUGGAACCUAUAUCUUAAUAGAUGGAGCCCGGGUCUUGACCCUUUUCUUGGAGUCUUGAACUUAAGAUCUUGAUUCUUGAUCUUGAGGGAAAGGGCGUAGGUUUUUAAUUUGAAAGGAAAAAUUGAAUUAUGGUGUGUACUCUGCUAUUGGGGCGUGAAUCUUAUGUUAUGGAAAGACCUUGGGUGAGGUAAAGGUCCAAGUUUCCCUUUAAAAUGCAAAAACAGAACCUGAAAAUUAGGUGUGUACGACGGAGGGUACGUCGCACACUAAUCGCGUGCAGCUACUGCCUCUCUCACAAAAAUAGCUAUAACUUUUUGCUCUGGUAUCAGAUUUUGGAGCAAUUGGUAUCGUUGGAAAGAUACUUUGAAUACCUUUAAUUUGAUAUAUAUUAGGUUCUUUAAUUUGAUACAUAAAAGAAGUUAUGGUCGAUGGAAGUUGACCUAAGUUUAAACGUCCACUGAAACUUAAUCGCUAGAAAUGUUUUAAACUCGUCGUAGAGUUAGGGGAUUUUUAUGACCUCAAUUCAUAUUAAAGGAUUUUUCCACACUAUAGGAUUGAUAACCAUGCAUAUAUUAACAAGGUAUUAUAUAUGCGUAUCAACGACGGUCUAGAUUCUAGCCCGAAAGUACGAGGUGUUACAAAUAUUGAAUAUGGAAUUCGGGACAGAGCCGAUAAUCUGGUUACUCUCCAUGGCUAACUCCACCAAAUUAACAAGAUUUUCAAUUUCUUGUGGAAUUAUAUCUGCAUUUAAUGUGUAAUAAAAUAAAAUUCUGAAGUAAUAAGAUACAAUAGUGCUACUAUUCUUAAGAUGAAACGUACCAGAGAAUUGAUUGGUUCCGAGUUUUAAUAUAUGCAAGUUACUCAAUCUUCCACUUUCAAUAUGUAUUGGUCCAUCAAACUCAUUUUUCAAUAAAGACAAAAUUUGAAGUUGAGAACAACUUGAUAAGCUUUUAGGCAUAUGACCUCGAAGCUUGUUUGUGGAUAAAUAAAGCCCUAUGAUUAUAGGGAUACCAUUCCAAAAACCAUUGAUAAGAUGUCCUGAUAAUCUAAUUGAUCAUUUGUUGUGUUGGUUUUGGUCAUGUCUGAACCAGCCAUAACAUAGUGAAGCAAUAAGUGUAAUGCACCGAAGUUUUUCUUAGCUAAAUUUUGUCCCUAAAACAUCAAGCAUUGGCUUCUAGAAUGAUUUAUACUUAUUUACCUAUGGAGUCCCUUAGAUUUCAAAUUUUCAUUACGUAGAUGACUGGAUAAGCUUUCCGUCGAUAUAAGAUUCGUCCACAACGGAUACUGAAGAACUUAUGGCUAUUUUAUGUGCUAGUCGUAAAACAUCGUCAUUCUGGUAUUUAGCACGUCCCGGAGAGGGUUUAAUUAGCAAUUGUCAAAUUCCAGUGGGACCUCACGAUAGUGGCGCAUCGUAGAGGAUCCCAAUUUCCCAUUCGUCAAUUUCCCCUGAGCCACCGCGAUAGUGGCGCAUCGCGGUGGCCCAUAAAAUCGGGUUCCUAGUUUAAUUUUUUCCAGCUUCGUUCAAAAGUUAACAAGGGUAAUUUGGACUUUUUUAGAGCCUCUUAAAAUGUCCAAACAGUAGAUUAAGACCUCUACAAUCAAAAUAUAUGACAUUCUCAAGAUUUUCCUCAAAACAGAAACCCUAGUUCAUAUACUUCUCCUCGAAGAAACUCAAGAUUCAAUCGUGGGUUUUCAAAUUGACUAAAGAUUUGGAAUUCUCAAACCGUAGGCUUAAAGGAUCAUCCCUUAUUCUUCGUAAUCAAGGUAAGUGGGGUUUAUCCUAAAAACUACAAGGGCUUGAAAUUGUUAAAGCAUCAUUUAAAGGUUUUGAUGCAUGUAUUUUAUGGUGUUUUUGAAAACUAUAUUACUGAUUAUGCAUUUUGAAAAUUUCAAUGCUACUAUUGCUUUGGCCUUGUGGUAUUUUUCCAUAAAUUGAUUUACAUAUAUAUGUAUAUAUAUGAAUUUGAGAUUUAAGAUUGUUGAGAGCAUAAAUUAUGAACUCCCUCUCUUGUAUUGAAUUAAAGAUUAUGAUUUUGUGAUUUGAAACAUGUUUUUGCAAUAUCCUGGCAUUUGAACAUGAUUUGAAAUUGUUGAGAGGGUGUUUCUUGAUAUCAAUAUGUUCUUAUGUGUAUGAGAAAGAAUUGCAUGUGUUUAUAUGAGGUUUGAAUUAAGAAAGAUUCAUUGAAUUGAGUUAUUGAAAUGCUGGUCUCAAAACUUAUGUUUUGAAUACAGAGAUUUAUGAUAGACUAAUAAUGGCUUAAAGAUGUGACUUGCAAGUAAAUGGUAUGACGAUACCAUAUGUAUUUAUGUCAUAACAGAUUAUGUUUUCAGAGCAUAUUUUUAGAGUAUGUUUUCAGAGACUGUAUAUUUUGUUAGAGUUUUAAAAAGUGGCUUAAAGAGGGUUAAGAGGUUACCCAAAGAAGGCGAAAGUUCAAACAACUCUUAGCCUAAAACUGUAUUUGCCAAUACGGGUAGAUUAAUACUGUAUGCUAGCGAUGGCAAUGUGGCGUAGUAGAUUCAGAGACUCCGACCCUUGCGGCACACUUGGGUUGGGGGCUUCACUGCCGAGUUAAUGGAAGCUUCUAUAUAGCCCAUGGAAUUUUUCAGAGUUUUAGGAUAUACCACCUAGCGCAGAAGUAACACAGAUUUCUCAGAACUGAGAUGAUUUUUACAGAGUCUUUAAAAUGUCUAUGUGAAUUCUUACUACAUGAUAUACUUAUGAACUAUUUUAAAUUGCUCUCAUAUAUGUUUAUUUAUAAAUGAUUAUUUUGGAUAUGAUCUGCUUACCAGUAAAUCUGUAUUGAACCCCUCCCUCCUACCUCUUAGGUUCUGAGACUUAGUUUAGGGGUCCAGAUAAGUAGUAGAUAAUUUAGACAGCUGAUUAGAUUGUGCAGUGGUGAGCCUUCUCUAUUCUAGAAGGCAUGUCUUCUCAGAUUAUGUCACUUAUUUCAGUUUUGGUCUACUGGGGGCCUUAUUCCAGUUUCAGACAGUUGACAAAUUUCAUGUAGUAGAGAUUUCGCAGACUGAGUCAGACAUUAUUUAGAUGUAUUUGAUUUACAGUUUCCAUACUUAUGUUGAAUUCAGAGUUGACCAUCUUUCCAUAGCAGAUUAUGUUUCUGCAUCUUCUUUAUUAUAUGAAUGUUGUGCAUGAUUACCAGAUAGAGAAGGACGUUCUGGGCCUUCAUGGUUUAGGAUGCCCGUCAUGGCUAGGCCCUAGUUCGGGCCGUGACAAACUUGGUAUCAGAGCAUGGUUCAUGGUCCCAGGGUUUCUACAAAAUUGCAUCGGGUAGAGUCUUGUUUAUGGGUGUGUAGCGCUCCAUACUUAUAAGCAGAAGGCUACUAGGCAUUUAAACAUGUUCCUCUUCUUUGUGAUUUAGUUCGUGCUUCAGAGUCUAAUCUGUCCCCUAAUCAAUGACCUUUUGCUUUUUAUAAAACCAGUGAUGCCUCCUCGUCGCACCAAUGGUAAUGCUCAGGAUAAUGAAUUCCAUCCCACCUAUGGGAUGUGGACUCGUAAUAGAGCUCAUACCGUAGAACUUGUUCCUACUUCGGUAGUACCUUCUAUACCGACCAGUCUUCCCAGAACUCCUCAAACGGGGGCCAAUCGCACUCAGCCUUGUGAAGGAGAGGUUUAUAAUGCUAAAUUCAGAUAAUUUAUUCAUGUACUUGCAGAUCUGGUAGCCGUACAGACUCAGAGGUCAGAGGAUACUGGGUCUGUGUUUGUUACUUCUGAAGUUACUAAAGUGGGCCAAUUCACAAGAUGAACCCGCCCAAUUUCUCUGGCGCUAAGGUAGAAGAGGACCCGUAGGAGUUCGUAGACGAAAUGAAGAAGAUUUUUAAAGUAAUGCAUGUUGAUCAGGUAGAGGGUGUUGAUCUAAUAGCAUACUAGCUAAAGGAUGUAGCGAACCAAUGGCACAAUGAGUGGGAAGAUACGAAGGGUGACAGUGCUGAGCCCACAGUUUGGGACGAGUUUGUGGAAGCUUUUCUUGACAGAUUCUUUCCUCUGGAGCUGAGAAAAACUAAAGCAGAGGAAUUCUUGAACCUUAAGCAGGGUAAGAUGAGUGUUCAGGAGUAUACUUUAAAGUUUAACCAGCUGUCCCGUUAUGCUCCUGAGAUGACGAGUAGUAUGAGGGCCCGAAUGAUGAAGUUUGCUUUCGGCCUUUCAGAUGAUCUGGUUCUUGAGUGUCAGGGAGCUAUGCUGAAUAGAGAUAUGGACUUUGCUAGACUGUCAGUCCAUAUGAAGCAAGUUGAGGAGAAGAAGAAGAAGAUAGCCGAAUCUAGGGAAAAUGACAGGUAGGCAAAGAGAGCCAGAGCGACAGACCAGAGUCAUAGUCAGCAGUAGAGCAGUAAUUGGGGUGGAAAAUGGUAAAAGAAAAAGAAUUAGGGUAAUGCACAGUCGGAAGCUAGUGCUCCAGUGUCCAAACCCACAGCUGAGCAGCGUACCCAGAAUUUUUAGCCUAGUCAGGGGUGAGGAUACAGGGUACACAUUCACAGGGAAGUAUAGCCCAGACCUCUCAGUCUUAUCCGCUCUAUGGGAGAUGCAAGAUAAAUAAAACAGAGAGAUGUCAGUUUGGCAUUUUGGUGUGUUAUUCAUACGUCCAGCCAGGCCAUAUCCAGAGAUACUGUCCGGCAGCAAAGAGUAAUGUUGGAGGAGCCAAGUCGCAGGUGAAUUCAUCUGCACCACCACCUUAGAAGGGUGCCAUUUCAGCCACCAAAAACGGUUGGAACCGGUUGUAUGCUUUGACCAACCGCCAGGAGACAGAGUCCUCACCAGAUGUAGUCACCGGCACGUUACAAAUCUUUUCUAGUGAUGUGUAUGUAUUACUUGAUCCCGGGUUUACCUUGUUUUAUGUGACCCCAUACGUGGCUAUUGGUUUUGGGUUUAAACCUAAGGUGAUUGCUAAACCUUUUUUGAUUUACAACCCAAUUGGAGAUUCUGUAGUAGCUAGGAGGGUGUAUAAAAAUUAUGUUGUGUCUAUUUUCAGCUGGAAUACUGAGGCAGAUCUCAUCGAACUUGAUAUGGUUAAUUUUGAUGCCAUCUUAGGGAUGGACUGGCUCCAUUCGUGCUAUGCCACCUUGAAUUGUAGGACCCGAAGAGUCACCUUUGCUUUUUCGAAUGAGUCGGUGAUAGAAUGGGAGGGACAUUCUCUAGCACGUAGAGGCCAUUUCAUAUCUUAUCUCAGGGCCUGUAAACUUAUUUCCAAAGGUUGCUUGUAUUAUCUUAUUCGGGUUAAAAAUUUUAGUGCCGAAAGUAUCCCUCUUCAGUCUGUCCCCAUAGUGAAUAAAUUCCCAGAAGUCUUUCUAGAUGAUCUCCCAAAAAUACCACCUGAUAGGGAGAUAGAUUUUGGUAUUGAUUUAUUUCCAUAUCCCAUCAUAUUUCUAUUUUGCCAUAUAGGAUGGCUCCUGCAGAGCUAAAAGAGUUGAAAGAAUAACUAGCAGAUCUUCUAAAUAAAGGUUUUAUCCGCACCAGUGUGUCUUCCUAGGGUGCACCUGUACUUUUCGUGUGAAAGAAAGAUGAUUCCCUUCAUAUGUGCAUAGAUUACCGCCAGUUGAAUAAGGUCACGAUUAAAAAUAAAUAUCCCCUUCCUAGGAUUGAUGAUCUUUUUUAUCAACUUCAGGGUGCUAAAUGUUUUUCAAAGAUAGACCUUCAUUUAGGAUAUCACCAGUUGAAAGUUAGAGAGUUAGAUAUUCCAAAAAUAGGUUUCCAAACUAGAUACGACCAUUAUGAAUUCUUAGUCAUUUCCUUCGGGUUGACUAACGCCCCUACAGCUUUUAUGGACCUAAUAAAUAAGGUUUUUCGUCAGUUUCUGGAUUUGUUUGUCAUUGUAUUCAUUGAUGACAUUUUGGUAUAUUCUAAGAGCGAGGAAGACCAUUCCAAUCACCUCUGAAUCAUCCUUCAGACCCUUAAAGAUCAUAAAUUGUAUGAAAAAAUUUCCAAGUGUGAAUUCUGGUUGAAUGCUAUUGCGUUCUUGGGGCAUAUCGUGUCUAGUGAAGGGAUUAAGGUUGAUCCCCAAAAGUUUGAGGUAGUGAGAAAAUUGUCCAGACCCACGACUCCAAUCGACAUUCGAAGCUUCUUGAGUUCGGCGGGUUAUUACAGAAGAUUCGUCGAGAGUUUUUCUUCCAUAGCUAUACCACUUACUAAGUUGACUCAUAAAAAGGUGAAGUUUUUGUGGUCUAACUCUUAUGAGAAUAGUUUUGAGAAGUUGAAAGACAAGUUGACUACUGCUUCUAUUCUGACUCUUCCGGAUGGUACAGAAGGUUUUAUUAUAUAUUGUGAUGUGUCCUAAGUGGGACUUGGGUGUGUUAUUAUGCAUCACGGUAAGGUAGUGGCUUAUGCAUCUACGCAUUUGAAGGUGCAUGAGCAGAACUACCCUACUCAUGAUUUGGAGUUAGCAGUUGUGGUUUUUGCACUUAAGAUCUGGCGGCACUAUUUGUAUGGGGUACAUGUUGAUAUAUUUACUGACCACAAGAGUUUAUAGUAUGUUUUCUCGCAGAAAGAAUUGAAUCUCAGGCAGAGGCGAUGGUUGGAAAUUUAAAAGACUAUGACAUGAACCUGCCCUAUCAUCCGGGAAAGGCGAAUGUGGUAGCUGAUGCCCUCAGCAGGUUAUCUAUGGGCAAUCUUUCUUAUAUGGGGAAAGAAAAGAGGGAGAUAGUAAAGGAUAUUCACCGACAGGCAAAUCUAGGAGUGUGACUUUUGGAUUCCAAGGAUGGAGGAGUGGUUAUUUCUGAGAUAUUUAAAUCUUCCCUUUGUUCAGAAGUUAAAGAGAAGCAGGUUGAAGAUCCCAUCUUGAUACAGAUCAAGAAAGAUUUGGGUCAAUAAAAGGUAUUGUCUUUUGAAAUUGGUGGUGAUGGUGUUAUGAGAUACCAGGGUAGGUUGUGUGUGCUAGAUGUAGAUGGUCUGAGGAAGAGAAUCUUUGACGAAGUUCACACGACGAGGUAUGUUGUUCACCAUAGAUCUACUAGGAUGUAUCAGGAUUUGAAAACCAUUUAUUGGUGGAAUAAUAUGAAGAGUACUGUGGCUAACUAUGUUACCAAGUGUUUGAAUUGUCAACAAGUUAAAGUGGAACAUUUAAUGCCAGAUGGUUCUUCUCAAGAGAUAGCAUUGCCUUUGUGGAAAUGGGAGAUGAUUAAUAUGGACUUCAUUACAGGACUUCCAAGGUCCCGAAACCAGUAUGAUUCUAUUUAGGUGAUUGUAGAUAGGUUGACCAAGUCAGCUCACUUUCUACCUGUCAGGACAAAUUAUUCAGGAGAGGUUAUGCCAAGCUGUUCAUUACAGAAAUAGUUCGUUUGCAUGGGGAACCUGUGUCCAUCAUAUAUGAUAGAGGUACACAGUUUUCUUCAUAUUUUUGGAGAUUGUUUCAAAAGGGUUUAGGUACCUAAGUGAAUUUGAGCACGGCUUCCCACCCUUAGAUAGAUGGGCAAGCUGAGCGCACCAUCUAGACCCUUGGGGAUAUGUUGAGGGCCCGCGUGAUUAAUUUUAAAGGUAGUUGGGUAGAAAACUUUCCAUUGAUAGAGUUCACAUAUAAUAAUAGUUUCUAUUCCAGUAUUAAGAUGGCACCAUUUUAGGCAUUGUAUGGGAGAAGAUGUAGGUCACCAGUAGGGUGGUAUGAAUCGGUGAGACACAGAUAUUUGGGCCUGAUCUAGUUCAUCAGGCAAUAGAGGAUGUAAAAGUCAUUAGAGAAUAACUUAAGACAGCUCAGAGUUGUCAGAAUUCCUACGUUGAUGUUAGGAAAAGAGAUCUAGAGUUUGAGGUUAAAGAUUGGGUGUUUCUCAAGGUUUCUCCCAUGAAGAGAGUCAUGCGGUUUGGGAAGAAAGUUAAGUUGAGUCCUCGCUAUAUAGGACCAUAUCAGAUUGUGAUAAGGAUAGGUGGAGUUUCACAUGAUCUAGAAUUUCCAGUUAGUUUGGGUUUGGUUCAUCCGGUAUUUCAUAUAUCUAUGUUGAAGAAGUUUAUUGGAGACCAUUCUUUAGUAUUGCCUAUCGAAGAAAUCAAAGUGACAGACUCCUCAUCCUAUAAAGAAGAGCCUGUAGAGAUUUUGGAUUACCAAUUUAUAAUAUCGAGGAACAAAGAGAUAGCCUCAGUUAAAGUGUUGUGAAGAAACCAAAAAAUUGAAGAAGCGACUUGGGAAUCAGAAGUUGACAUGAGAGCUAGAUACCCAAACCUUUUUGAUCCAAUGGAUGACGAAAUGGAAGGUACAAUCCUUGCCUUAUUCUUUCUGUUCCUUAGUAUUCUUUAAAUCAUACUUGUCUGUAUCCCGCGUCAACAUUCGGGGAUGAAUUUUCCUAAGGGGGGACAUUGUAACACCCCAAAGUUUUUCUUAACUAAAUUUUUUCCCUAAAAUAUCAAGCAUUAGCUUCUAGAAUUAUUUAUACUUAUUUUACUAUGGAAUCCCUUAGAUUUCAACUUUUCAUUACGUAGAUGACUGAAAAAGCUUUUCGUUGUUAUAAGAUUCAUCCACAACGGACACUCGGUGAAGAAGUUAUGACUAUUUUAUGUGCUAGUCGUAAAACAUCGUCAUUCUGGUAUUUAGCACAUCGCAGAGAGGGUUUAAUUAGAAAUUUUCGAAUUCCAGUGGGACCUCGCAAUAGUGGCACAUCGUGGAGGAUCCUAAUUUCUCAUUCGUCAAUUUCCAGUGAGCCACCGCGAUAUUGGCGCGUCGCGGUGGCCCAUAAAAUUGGGUUCCCAGUUUAAUUUUUUUCAGCUUCAUUCAAAAGUUAACAAGGGUAAUUUGGACUUUUUUCAAGCCUCUUAAAAUGUCCAAACAAUAGAUUAAGAUCUGUACAAGAAGAAUAUAUGACAUUCUUAAGAUUUUCCUCAAAACAAAAACCCUAGUUCACAUACUUCUCCUCUAAGAAAGUCAAGAUUCAAUCGUGGGUUUUCAAAAUUGACUGAAGAUUUGGAAUCCUCAAACCAUAGGCUUAAAGGAUCAUCCCUUAUUCUUCGUAAUCGAGGAACGUGUGAUUUAUGCUAAAAACUACAUGGGCUUGAAAUUGUUAAAGCAUGAUUUUAAGGAUUUGAUGCAUGUAUUUUAUGGGGGUUUUGAAAACUAUAUUAUUUAUUAUGCAUUUUAAAAGUUUCAAUGCUACUAUUGCUUUGGCCUUGUGGUAUUUUCCCCUAAAUUGAUUUACAUAUAUAUGUAUAUGUAUGAAUUUGAGAUUUAAGAUUGUUGAGAGCAUAAAUUAUGAACUCCCUCUCUUGUAUUGAAUUAAAGAUUAUGGUUUUGUGAUUUGAAAUAUGUUUUUGCAAUAUCCUGGCAUUUGAACAUGAAUUGGAAUUGUUGAGAGGGUGUUUCUUGAUAUCAACAUGUUCUUGUGUGUAUGAGGAAGAAUUGCAUGUGUUUACAUGAGGUUUGAAAAAAAAAAGAUUCAUUGAAUUGAAUUAUUGAAAUGCUGGUCUCAAAACUUAUGUUUUGAAUACAAAGAUUUAUGAUAGACUAAUAAUGGCUCAGAGAUGUGACUUGUAAGUCAAUGGUAUGACGAUACCAUAUGUAUUUAUGCCAUAAAAGAUUAUAUUUUCAGAGCAUAUUUUCAGAGUAUGUUUUCAGAGACUGUAUGUUUUGAUAGAGUUUUAAAAAGUGGCUUAAAGUGGGUUAGGUGGUUACCCGAAGAAGGAGCUAGUUCAAGAAACUCUUAGCCUGAAACUGUAUUUGUCGAUAUGGGUAGAUUAUUAUUGUACACUGGCGACAGUCGUGUGGCGUAGUAGAUUUAGAAACUCCGACUCUUGCGGAACACUUGGGUUGGGAGCUUCGCUGCUGAGUUAAUGACAGUUUCCAUAUAGCCCAUGGAUUUUUUUAGAGUUGUAGGGUAUACCACCUAGCGCAGAAGUAACACAGAUUUCUCAGAGUUGAGAUGAUUUUUACAGAGUCUUUAAAAUGCCCAUGUGAAUUCUUACUACAUGAUAUACUUAUGAAUUGUUUUAAAUUGCUCUCAUAUAUUUUGAUUUAUAAAUGAUUAUUUUGGAUUUGCUCUGCGUACCAGUACAUCUGUAUUGACCCCUUCCUUAUCUUGGAUAUGCUCUGCGUACCAGUACAUCUAUAUUGACCCCCUCCCCCUACCUCUCAGUCUAGGGGUCUAGAUAAGCAGUAGAUAAUUCAGAAGCUGAUUAGAUUGUGCAGUGGUGAGCCUUCUCUAUUUCAGAAGGCCUGUCUUCUCAGAUUAUGUGAUACAAGAAUUACAAGGACAACACGAAACACACUUCAAAAUCAGUCCACAAGAUCAAAGAUCUAAGGACCCUUUUGAAGACCACACUCAGAUUCAACAAACAACAACAAUAACACAAUGUAUUGAUGUGUUUAUCUCCUAAAAACAUAUAACAACAAACUAUGUUAACAACAACGAUAUGAAGAAUAACAACAAUGGAACAAGAAUAACAAGUCACGGAUUUGAAUUACUAGAACACAAACAAACGAUUACAACAUAAACAAAAUGGAUAGAUAGUUAGACCUUGGUUAGUAUAAUCUUAAGGAUUCAAGAAUAUGGUAAUCUUGGACCCUUAACACUACACACAAUGGUUAACCUAACUCCUACGUUGACACAAGAGGAACUUUAACUCCUCUAAACACCAACGUCUCAAGCCAACAUUGCAACAUAAGUGAUAUCCACACUUGUUGCCCUCAUUUUCGUGUGGUGGCUAUUCCAAGCCCUACAACUAAAGGUUUUUCACGUUUCAAGUCUUACAUCAAUGAACAAAUAAUGACAAAAAGACCUAAAAUGUUCUAUUUAUAUUCCAAGCCCUACAACUAAAGGUUUUCACGUUUCAAGUCUUACAUCAAUGAACAAAUAAUGACAAAAAGACCUAAAAAGUUCUAUUUAUAUUUUAUAACAAGACAAGGCAAAAUGACAACACUGCCCUUAAAGGGUGGGGUGGCCAUGGAGUGCAUUUGGACCCAAUGAAGUGACCAAAAUACCCUUAAUGAAGAUGACCAAAUCAUGACCUAUUAAGUGUUGUCCAAAAUCGUGAGUCCUCAAGUCUUCGAUGCUCCAAGCAAUCUUCCACACACGGCCUUGCUUGUGUUCAAAAUGGGUCUUCCUUGCAUAUUCUUGUGCCCUCGGGGUGACCAAGUCUUAAGCCUUUAAAUGAAGACCUCCAAUCAUGUCUUCAAAAAUUAAGGUGGCCAUUUGACUUGUAUCAUUAUGUCACUUAUUUCAGUUUUGGUCUACUGGGGGCCUUAUACCAGUUUCAGACCGUUGUCAGAUUUCAUGUAGUAGAGAUUUUGCAGACUGAGUCAGAUUUUAUUUAGAUGUAUUUGAUUUACAGUUUCCAUACUUAUGUUGAAUUUAGAGUUGACCAUGUUUCUGUAGCAGAUUAUGUUUCUGCAUCUUCUUUAUUAUAUGAAUGUUGUGCAUGAUUAUCAGAUAGAGAAGGGCGUUCCAAGUAUAAAUAGUUCGAGAUGUCCGUCACGGCCAGGACCUAGUUCAGGUCGUGACAAAGAGUGUUAAGAAAAAAAGGGUGAAUGCUUUCUCCAUGAUUGCAUAAAUUAGUAGGGAAAUGGUUUGGUUAAUAACCUGUGGGUUGGAGUAUUUAAAUAUUGCCAAUUUUUACGAAUAUCUUUUUUAUUUUGGGAUAAACUUUCAUUUAUUCUAUCAUCUCAAUAAUUUGUUCCCCAACUUAAUUUAUUUUUCUAAUUUAUGUAGAGCCCAAGGACUUGACCAUUUCAAACAAAUCAAAUCAACUAAUUCUUGCAAACCGUGAUUGUGUGUUAACAUGUUUUACACAAAUUCAUCCAUAAGAAAGCAAGUAAAGCUGUCAAUAAAAAUGUUACACUGAACCUUGAGAAGCGGGGAGUCAGAACUUGAAUUUUAUGGGUUAAAAUUCAAAAAUAGUGACAUGUGUUAAGUGCUGAUAACCUAAUUCUGAAUUUAAAUUUGUACAUAUUUAAUGAAUUUUUUAAUAAAAAUAUUGAAUUUAGACUAAAGCUACUGAAUACUGUCGUAAACAACCUUCUACCUCCGUUCCGGCACAUACUAAAGUGUGGACACAUCAAGAAUUCAACUUUUCUUGUGUGGGCACAUCAAGAAUUCAACUUUUCUUGAUAUUCUUCUGGUGUGUGUCUCACAUUGUUGAAAAUGAGGAUGUAAAUGGUAUAUAUGAGUUUAAACCACAAAAAAGAGGGCUCUAUUUUGCUCAUUUAUAUUAUCUCACACAAUAUGACAUUUAGGACGUGUGCAUCUCACAUGAUUUGCCACUUAGUGCACAUGUGUUUAAAUUUUUUAACUUUAUGAUAGUUUAAGUGUCUACUUGUACACACCCAAAGUUGUAUGUAUAGAUGUAUGAGGUCAUCUAGAAAAAAUUUUUUCGAAUCUUUUUUCUAAGAAAAAGGAAAAAACAACCUUUCUUCAUUUAUUCCAUCAUAUAAAUAUUAAUACAACUAAAAUAUCGUUUCAGUAAAACAAAAAAAUGGUUGUUGUCCAUUUGAUAUCCAAGUGUAGCAGCCAUUCAUUUUAGAUGUAAAAGAUAAAUUUUCCCAAGUUAUGUGGGGGCAUCAACGAUGUCUACCAAUGCAAUAAGUAGAUAAAGAUGUCCUACACUGUUUGGAUGGUUGUUACUUAUUAUUUAAUAAUGUAUUAUAUAUUUAACGUAAAACCAAGAUUUUCACUAAGAAAUUGAUAGUUGGUUUAAAAUGAAGGAUUCUUUUGUUAUGUCGCAAUUAUAUUUUUCUCUGUGAGUUUCCAAAUAACAUAAAAGUGGACACCUUGUGUAGUCUAUUUAAGUUAGCAAAGGUUUUAAAAGAGAAGUUUGUUAUUUGAUUUUCGCGAUUAAAUACGUGCUUGGUACUACUCCUUCGAGACAAUAUUAACAAAAUAAUAGUCAUGACUUAAGUCAUCGACAGUUACUUUAAGUUGUUCCGAAAAUUCAACUCAGACUUGUCCCUAUUGAAUACUCUUGUACCCAUUGAAUACAUUUACUACUUGAAUUUAAACCAUCUAAACAUAUUUUUAACAAUAAGCUAUAAAUGUAAAGUGUGUGUAGGGCAAUUGUGACGCAGAAAUAAAACAAAUUAAAUGAUGCUAUUUGGCAUGUGAAUCCAAAAAAAUUGUAAAAUAAUAAUGGUGACAAUUUACAAUUUUUGAUUAAAAAAGAAAAAGAAAAUCAAUUUUUUCCCCUNNNNNNNNNNNNNNNNNNNNNAAUCUUAUUUCUUUAGCAAUUCAAUUCAUAGUUAUUGCUAUUUUUCUUCUUCUUGUGUUGUGGGUUCCUUAGAAUUUGAAUUCUUUAAUAAUAUCAAUAAAGUAAUCUAAAAUUCAUAUCAAGUUAGCCGAAAAAAAUGAAGUUUCACUGGAAAAAAUGGAGUUUUCCAGUUCAAGAAUCAAAUUUGCUACCACUGCUUUUUUUUUCUUUUUCUGUUACAUAAAUUUGUGAUUACAUAUAUAGCUCUGAGAUUGUUUGAUCUAUAAUCGGUCUUUAAUUGAUGAAUAAAGAAUAUAUUGCAUAUAUGUUCAGCAAUGACUGAUUAAAGAAAAGAAUGGACGAAUUUAAAAAACUUACAAGAGUGUUAAGAAUUUAAAAAAUAAAAAAAAUACAGAUGAUCAUAAUACAUAAAUAUGAUCUUAUACUUGACACCAAAUUAUAACUUUGACCUUAAACUUUGACAGUGCACAAAUAUGACCUCCGAUCCUACGUGGCAAAACGUGUGCUUAACAUGCAAAAUUGGGCGAGUCCAGCUAAGAAUCUAAGGGCAUCAUACAUAAAUAUGACCCUAAACUUGACACCAAAUUUAUAACUUUGACCUUAAACUUUGACAGUGCACAAAUAUGACAUCUAACUAUUCAAAACUGUACGAAUAUAACCUUCAAAUGACUUUUUACUAUUAUUUUUUGACUAUUUUUGGCUCAAAAAUGAAAAUGGCAUCUAAUUUCUUUUGUCAUUGCGAAAAAAGAGCAAUAUUGAAAAUUUAUUAAUUAGGUGGGUCAGUCUCAUACGAAAAAAUCGCGCGGAUAUGUAUAUAUAUUAUAAAGCAAAGGGCGAAUUUAUGUUAUAUGAUAUAUCUAUAUAAUUUAUUUAAAUAUUAAAUUAAAGAUGAACUAUACUAAUAAUAAAAAAAUUAUAGUUUUAAUAAAACACUAUUAAAUUAACGUUAUUAAGGAUAGUAGUAGUAGUAUAUUAGAUUAACAUUAUCAAAUUAUCACUAUUAAAAUGUUAGUAUUAAAUUAACGUUAUCAAAACAUUAUUAAAUUAACUCAGGGGCAGAUCUAUGUGGUUGUCAUGGGGUUCACCCGAACCCCCUCGGUAAAAAAAUUACAUUGUAUAUAUAAGGUAGAAAAUAUAUAUUUAUGUAUGUAUAUUAAUGUUGAACUACAUGAAACCAGACACUUAUAUCGCCUAGUGGUGUUAUUUGCUCUUCUUGGGCGCUUUCUUCAGCCUGCUGUGCGAAUUCGAUCCCUGCUAGUGGCCUUUUUUUUUAAAUAAAAAAUAGUUAGGUGUUGCUGCUAUAAAUAAAUAAUAAUAAUAAUAAUAAUAAUAAUAAUAAUAAUAAAAACAUCCUAUUUAGUGUAAUAUUUGAAUUCAAUAAAGUGAGGUACACGCGCGAGGUACGUACACCUAAUAAUAAUAAUAACAAUAAUACCAACUCUUUUGUAAGUAAUUACACUCUCUCCCCCUUUUUUAAUUACUUUACUCUCUCUCCCUAUUAAUAUGCAUAAAAUAACCGACAUAUACACAAUAUUGUGUAUAUUGGGAUUUUUGUAAUAUGUUUAGGGAGUUUAGAUUUUUUGUAAUAUUGGAAACAUAAGUUGUGUAUUUGUGUAAUUUUUAGUAAUAAUAAUAAUAAUAAAAGCAACGUCGUUUUAACACAAAAAGCAAAACUUUGACAGUGCACAAAUAUAACCUUUAACUAUUCAAAACUGCACAAAUAUGACCUCCCUCCAAGUCAUUCCUUUUAACGAUGUGGCACCAUGUGAUUGGAUGAGCUUUCCACAUAGGCGCGAGUGAAACUCACGCAUGGGGGUUGCAAAAUGGAGGUCAUAUUUGUGCAGGUUUUGAAUAGUUAAAGGUCCUAUUUGUGCACUAUAAAAGUUUAAGGUCAAAGUUAUAAUUUGUUAUCAAGUGUAGGGUCAUAUUUAUGUAUUAUGCCUUUAUAUUUUAAUUAAAACUAGUAUUCAUACCCGUGUGAUGUACAGUUAGUAAUAAAAAAUUGACAUAGCAAAUUUUACAUAUAUAUGUAUGUGUGUAUGUGUGUGUAUGUAUAUACAUAUGCACUAUCAACCAUCAAAUAUGUUUAAUUAUUGUUGAGUCUUCAAACUCAAAUAUUCAUCUGAAUUGAAACUUAACCUUUAAUCAUGUUCACCAUCUAAACUUAUUGUAGUACGGAUGCCAAUAUAUAAUAUUAUACUAAUUUUCAAGAUUUAUAUAUUUAUAUAGAAUACCUAAUUUUAUGGAAAGAUUAUGAAUUCACAUUCCCCAUUCUUUUAAUAUAAAUUCGCAGUUGUUAACAUGAAAUACAUGAUAAAGCUUAAUCAAAGCACUCCAAUAUGCAUUAUAUAAUAGGAUAGAAUUUAUCGUUAAUAUAUGUGCAACAAACCUAACUACAUUAUAGUAGAGCCCUUCAAUAAGUGGUGGAGCCAGGAUUUUCGCUGAGAGAUUUCGAAUGUAUAUAUACGAAUUAUUCAAAUGGGGUUCAACAUCUACUAUAUAUGCACAAAAAAUAUAUUAACUAUGUAAAAAUAGUAUAAAAACAAUAUAAUUUUUCGUCGAAGAGGGUUCGAAUGAACCUCGAAGGGAAGGUGGCUCCACCACUGGGAUUCAAUGAUCAAGAAAAUCUAUAAAAUGCUUGCAUCCAUAAAUACAUCGAUCACAAUCACAUCCAAUUUAAUCAUUAGCACUUGGCAAGUGCUGUUUUCAUCUGUCUAGUGGCCAAUAUUUGUCAUUUCAGAAACCACAAUAUUAAUAAGAAGUUUAGGAGCACCUUAGAAAAGCAAUUAAAUAUCAAUUAAUAGAAUAAAGUGAAAUUAAGAAAAAUGCCUAAAAUAGAAUUAUUUUAUCUUUAUCCAUAUUGAAAGAAAAAUAUUAUCAAGGGAAGUACUAUUACAUCUAGAAUACUAAUUAAUCAAGAUAAAAUGAAAGAAAGUUGAGUAAAAUUAAACAUUCAAUAUUCACAUGGCGCCUUCAGUAUACUCUUUGUGUUUGACUUAUUUGACAACUUAUGAUCAAACUGAUAUGAUCUAAAAUAGCUUUAAGAUCAAGAUAACAAAAAUAUUAGUGAGGUACUGAGGUAUAAAUGCGGACAUCAAGCUAAUACUUGGACAAAAUAGCUAUAUUUAAAUUCCAAAUUCAUAACAUAAAAUAUAGUAAUGAACUUUUACCACAAAAUCGAAGAAUUUAAGCAAUUAUGAUUUCAUUUGACAUAUCUCACAAAUAACUAUAAAAAAACUUCAAAAUCAGCAUAACUAUCCUCCUGAUAAAUAAACAAAAGUCCCAAGAAAAAUUAUUCAUCUAAAAUUGAUUUAAGAAACACCUAAUUUGAAUCAGUAAUAUGACCUCUAUCGCCUUUAUAUAUAUUGUAAAGACCACCUGAAACAACAAAAAAUUCAUAGAGGCUAUAUAGAAUUAUUAAUUUCUUAACUUUGAAAUAAACACAAAAUUUGACACUUGUAAUGUUCUAAUUUUCAAAAAAAAAUAGGUAUAGAUAGAAGAUUCAUAUGAGGUAGACAACUCACAUGUCGUAUUGUAGUUUUAAUUUACUCUAAUAUAACAUAUAAUACAACAAUUAUUGUUUGUCUUCACUAUAACAUUUGUCGCUAGCAACAUAAGAUUCCAGAUUUGUAUUUUGGCUAGGAAUUGAACUUCUUCUAACUAAUCCAUUUGAGGUUUAAGGGGAUUUGUUCAAAUUUAAAUGCUUCCUAAGAUAACAUCUAUUUUCCUAUUACACUGUACACAUGCACUGAAUACAGUAACCAACCAAACUAUCUACUUCGAUGGUACCUAUCCUGUUAUUUCAUCUUUCAACUAAAGUAAUUAAUUAAUAAUAAUUUUAAUAAUUUGGAUAAUUAUUUAUUGCAAUUUUAAUGUUUUUUUUAUUUUUUAAUAAAGAAAAUAUUUUUCUCCUAUUGCGUAGGAACGUGUAAAUGUGGGAUAGAAGUUUAGAAGUGGUUUAAACGGAAUCAGUAACUAAAAUAUUUUUAAAUGAUAAUUACCUACUUUGUGUAGAUUUUUACAAAAUGGGUACAUUAGGAUAAUGACAAAGUAAAAACUAUAAAAGAGAAUUAGAUUAAAAUUACGAGAAGUUAUAAUUUUUUUAAACUAAAAAAAGACAUCAUGGGGAGAAGUUAUAAUCAGUUUAACUCCCUGAGGAGAAGUUAUAUUCAGUUUUACACUCAACAUACUCAACCAAUUAGGAUGUUGACUUGAAUUAACUGAAAUAUAAUUUUAUAUAAAAUAAUUUGUUCAUCUUAUCUUAAAUUAAAUUACAGAAAAAUUUUCAUAUUAUUUCAAUUGAAAAAUACCUCACUAACAUCAAUCAAUUCAUAUAAAUGUAAAGCUACAUAACUCAUACUUAUCAAUUUUCUUACCUACAAAGCAAAUCAUAAAAAAUAGGGAAGAACGAUAUCAAGUAUUUCCAAUUAUAAUAAGUAAUAACAUGAAUCCACUAUCUAAUAAUUAUUUAUUUUUUGCUAAGACUAUCUAAUAUUUACAACAUAACAAAUGUCGCUACUUAAGAAAAUACAUAAAAAUUAAUAAAAAUUUAGCAAAUUUUAUCGGAAGUUGUGCAUAUUUUUAAAAGCAGUCUAAUAAAAGAAAAUAUCAUUACCAAUAUUUGCAACACAAUUUGAAUGUAAAAUACGUAGAAGUUACUUCCAAGUCUUUUUAAUAAUCUGUAACGAAGACAUUUGGUAUGAUUUUGAAAACUUGACAACCAAAAUGCAGACAUAAAUUUGUGCAAAAACAAAACAAAUACCAACCCAUAUUUUACUAAAAUAAGUUAGAAGAAUCAAAACUUCUCAAUCAGUAUGAUAAAAAUAAAACAAAACAAUCAUAUUUUCAGUCUCACAAUCAGUAUGUCAUACUAUUCCCAAAAAUUAAAAAAAUAGAAAAAUACCUUCUCCUAAAAUCAGAAACUGAAGUCUAUUUAUAUGUAGAAAUUAUAGCAAGAAAAUACUCUAUCUUUAUUAUGACAUCACGUGAGUCACCAAAGAUGUGGAAGGGGUCUACAAAGAAUUCGUAAAUCAAACCACUAUGACACGAUUCUUUUACUUACAGUAUUGUUUUGCAUUGAUUGUGUCUGAUUUUUUUGCCUCCCUUUCCGAUCCACAUACUCAAUGAUAAGUUUAAGUGAUAUGAAAAGGAUUUUUAGAAUUUUGUUUUGAGCAUUUUUUGUCAUUGAAGUGACUAUUAGAAGAAGAUGGAGUCAGUUAUCAAACAUGGAAGAAUGAUUGUUUAAAUUAAGAAUUAACUGUAACAAUAUAAUAGAACUGAUUUGCAGUCUUAAUUUUUGUUUUUUGCUUUCUAUUGGUUAUCUUUUAGAUUUAUUUAUAAUAAUUAUGUAAUUUCUGCUGAGCUUUAUCCUUAAAUGCCAAGUGGCUUAAUAUUGGGCUGCCACUUGGCUUAAUGUAGUGACUUUGUUCUCAACUUUUAAUAAUAUAUAGAUAUAGAUUUGUUAUUAUUAGAAUUAUUAAUAAAAUAAAUUGAAGUGUCAUUUUUUUAACAAAAAUAAAAAAAAUACCAUUUGGUUCUCUAUUCACACUGCUAAGGAGAGUGAAUAACACUUUCCUUACCAUAUCAACACUAUAAGCCUGAUAGGUGUAAAAUUGAAUAGGUUAGGGGCCUGAUAGGUACAGGCCUUAGUUAAGGGUCUAAGUGAUUUUCAGGACAACUUGAAGUGGUUGUCAAAGACCUAAGCCUAAUAGUCAUCAUAGAUUUAGUUCUUGAUCAUCAGGCUACCCUCGGAUUAUUUCCUCCAUACUUAAAUUGUGUUGCUAAGGAGAUCUCGUUGAGGUAAAUGUCAUGCUUAAUGUGGUAUGUUGUUGUUAGUUCAGCAUUGUAAGCAUAUUGGGUACAUGUUCUUUCCACACUCAUGCAUUUCGCGCACGAGUGGACCAUGAUGUUUGAUUGAGUCAGAAGCUCUACUUCCUGCUUGCUAUAUUUUUUUGUGAAGACAUAUUUAUGUACUCUUUAUUGUUGUUUAGACAAACUCAACUUUUGAUGUUAUCACAGAUUGAUUGUAUACUACACAUCUGGCUAGUGUCGAUAAGCGUCAGAUAUUCUGUUUAUAAUCCUUAGGGACAAAUAUACCCUCGAAUUAUGAUAAAUGAUAUGUAUAUACCCUCCGUCAUACUUUGGAUACACAUAUACCCCUACCGUUAAUGAAAUGGUACGUAUAUGCCCUUCACACUAACGAUAGGGGCAUAUGUGUACCCAAAGCAUGAUGGAGAAUAUAUAUACAUACCAUUUAUCAUAGUUCGGUGUAUAUUUCACACUAACGGUAAAGAUAUAUGCGUAUCCAAAGUACCCAAAGUAUGACAGAAGAUAUAUACGUACCAUUUAUCAUAGUUUGGGAGUAUAUUUGUCCAUUUUCUAUUUCAACAAUGCCACUUUUGCAUUAACGCUAGAAAACAAAGGUUGUUCUUCAACCACAAUACGCUGCAGCAGCGACGCCAACUGAACUCACAUCUAUAUAUUAUUAAAAGGAGAGGACAAAUAUUUUUCAUUAAGCCAAGUGGCAGCUUAAGAAUAAGCCACGAGGUAGUUUAGUAACAAAAAUUAGUUAUGUUGGUUGUUAGUUACUAUUUUUAAAAUUCAAAAUCUUAUAUAUUUGUAUUAAAAUUCAAAAAGAAAAUGGAUAAAAAUUAAAGUCAAUUUAACUUAAUCAGAAUUGCACAUUAACUGCAAAUACUAACUGCUUAACACAAACAUCCAACCAA
rnacentral:lncRNA from 1 species